UUUGAUCCAGUUCAAUGGCUCAAAACACUGGAUUGGAGGAUGCUUGAUGGUUAUGAUUAUAAAUAUUAUGUUAUAAUAUUAGGUAUAAUUGUAUAAGAAUAUAGUUCUUUGUAUGCAAUAUGAGAUACCUUUGAGUUACUUGAGUCAAGUUAGAAUUUGAAUGGGCAUUUGAGUGGAUUUGAUGAGUGAGUUAGAAGCUCAUACCAAGUCUUCUGUUUCUUGAAUCAAACAUGUAUACUUGAAAUUAAUGCAAUCAUUAUAACUAUGAUACAACAUCAUCGUGGCUAGUUCCAAGUUGGAUAAAAAGGUGGAGGGUUGACAACUGGUAGUAGAAAUAUGCCAAUAAUUAUGAAAUGGAUCCUAAUUUGAGAUGCAUGAAUGUUAGGACGUCCUCUCUUUUUUGCAAUGCGCCACAACUUGACCCAAUUGCAGUGAGAAAUGGAGCAAGUUGCGUAAGAUUGUUGUCCAUCAGUGACUCGCUAUUGUGUGACCCUGAAGGAUGGUUAGGUCUUUGUCCAUAAAUGGCCCACUAGAAUGUGAUUCAAUUAGAGUGACAAACGAGCAAUGGUCUCAAAUUCUAGUGGGAUGUCUCGUGGGAUACCAGGAUGAGCUAUUGAAUGUCAGGACAGAAUUAUGCCGCCAUCAUCUCAGCAUCUCGAUUGACACAUCUUGGGACAUCCCUUGUCCCAAGUUUCGGGAUAGGACGGGAUGACGACACACCCUAUUCCAUAAGAAAAUCGGGACACCCCUAUCCUACAGGCUUUAAAACCUUGCAUGCUAUAAUGUAUUUUGGUUGUGGCAAGAUGGAGUUAUUUAGGAUUAGUAUUCUAAUCAUGGUAUGCUAUACUGUUCGGUACCAGUGUGUACUAGACAUACCAUAUGGUACCAUUACCAAAUCUGUACGUGGUACUAGGGGUUUAUCGAGUGUCGGUAUACCAAAUCAACCUCUAGGCAUAUCGAUACUUUACUAUGAUUGUACCGCUAUGGGGUUUGGUACCGAGACGACAAACCUUGAUUCGAAUAUUUAGGGUUAGUAUUCUAAUCAUGGUACACCGUAUCGUUUGAUACUAGUGCGUAUUAGGCAUACCAUACCGUACCAUUACCGAACUGGUAUGUGAUAUCAAGGGCAUGCUAAGUGUCGGUAUGCCAAAUUGACCCCAGGCAUACCAAUACUUUUCCACGAUGGUACCAAUAUGGGUUCCAGUCCUAAGAUGACAAACCUUGAUUCUUAUAGUAAUCCAGUACAAUGACGGGUAAUUGGAGUUGUAGGGAUAUGAGAAAUUUUAUCAUGUAAGGUAACCAUAUAGAAGAUGAGAACUAGCUUUCUACUUAGACUGUUGGAACUUUGAUCAUGAAGAUCAGAGAAUUGGUGGAUACAAUGACGCGUAGGAAAAUCAAUAUCACUUGCUUACAAGAAACUUCAUGAAAAGAUUGUAAAUCCAAGGAUAUUGGGGAUGGUUAUAAACUAUUAUACGUAGGUAAGGAUAAUAAUAAAAUUGGUGUAGGAAUAGUAGUGGUUAAGGAAAUGAAAGAUAAAAAUUUAGAUAUAAAAAGAAUGAGUGAUAUACUAAUAGCUAUUAAAUUAGUUUUAGAUGAGAAGAUUAUUAAUGUAGGUAGUAUUUAUGCACUACAAGUAGGCUUAGAGGAGGAUUAAGCAACAACUUUGAGAAGAAAUGGAUGGAUUGAUUUAAGGUAUUCUUGAAAGAGAAAGGAUACUUGUAGGCGGUGAAUUACAUAGGCAUAGCGAAGAACAAUAUGGGAUAUGAGAGUGCAUAGAGGAUUUGGUUUUGGGGAUAGAAAUUUAUUAGGAGAUUCAAUUCUUGAGUUUUCAUUAGCUUAUAAUUUAGUACUUGCAAAAACAUAUUAAGAAGAGAUGAGAACUCAUAGAUAGAUAACUUUUUCAUCAAGAGACGAGAAAGAUCGAUAUGUAAGGAUCGUAAGGUGAUAUCAGGAGAGAGUUAACUACAAAAUUUAGGUUAUUAGUCUUAUAUUUAUAUAUUAAAUACAAUAAGUAAAGAAAAUAAAGUAAUAAAUAUCCAAAGAUGGUGGAAUUUGAAAGGAGAAAUGUUGUCUUUUAGGAAUAAAUUAUUAAAGGAGAGAAAUUGAAACGUAAGGGCUAUUAGCCCAAAUAAAAUGCGGGAUCAAAUGGUCAACUAUAAUAAGGGGAUAGCUAAAGAUAUUCUAGGAGAGUCAAAAGGGAAAAGAUAUAAAAUAAAGAAACCUAGUUUAGGAAUAAUGAAGUACAGGAGGUAAAAUUAGAAUAAAAUGAGUUUGUUUUAAAAUAACAAAGAAAAUAAUGGCAAGGAUUUUAUAAGAUACAGGAGGCUAAAAAACAUGCAAAAAUUCUAGUAAGGCUAAAUGUGUGGCAUAUGAUAAUUUUAUGAUAGAUUGGGUCCGAAAGAGGGUGAGAAUGAAAUUUAUGAAACAUCUAAAAUUAAAGAAGGAGAUGUUCUUUUGAAAAAUUGUAAAUGAGGAUUCUAUUAAAGAAUUUUUUAUUGAAGAACCAAAAUAGGGUGUCAUGGUUUUAUUUGGAUGAUUCAUAAAAGUUAAGUGGAGAUAGCUUUGAAAAAAUUGCAAAAAAUGGUAAGGAAUUAGAACCAAAUGAAAUACCUGUUGAGGUUUGAAAAGUUAUGGGGGAUACUGGGUUAAAUUGGGUAACUUAUUUAAUGAAAUCUUGAAAAUGGAAAACAUGCCAGAUGAGUGGAGAAGUAUUGCAAUUCCUAACUAUAACAAUAAAGGUGAUGUACAAAAUUGUUCUAAUUAUCUGGAAAUUAAGUUUAUCAGUCACUCUAUGAAAUUAUGGAAAAGAUUGAGAGAAAUAACAACUAUUUUAGAUAACUAAUUAGGAGUUAUACAUGAAUGAUCAACAAUGGAAGCUAUCUUUUUUACUUAGACAAUUGAUAGAAAAUAUAGAGAAAAAUGAAAAAGUCUAUGUAUUGUUCUCAUUGAUUUAGAAAAGUUUAUGAUAGGAUACCAAGAAAAGUAAUUUGGUGGGCUUUAAGGAAUGGUGUAUAUAAAUGAUAUGUUGAAAUAAUUGAGGACAUGUAUGUUGGGGCAUUAACAAGUGCUAGAAGUUGCUACGCUAUGACAAGUUUAUUUCCAGUUACCAUGGGCUUGUAUCGAGGAUAAGCACCAAGCCCAUAUCUUUUUGUACUAAUUAUGGAUAAAAUUACUGCUAACAUUUAAGAUGAUAUACCACAGUGUAUGUUAUUUGCAGACGAUUAGUGUUGAUUGAUGAAAAGAGAACUAUAUUAAACAUUGCAUUGGACUUAUAGAGGAAAACUUUAGAAGGUUUAAAGAUUAGUAGAACAAAGAUGGAGUAUAUGAAAUGUAAAUUUAGUAAGAAUGGAAAUAAAGAUGUGAUACCAGUUAAGAUUGAUGACCAAGACAUACCUCAAAGUGGCCGGCUUCAUUAUUUAGGAUCUAUUGUACAAAUAAUGGGGAGAUAGAUGAAGACAUAUGUAAUAGACCUAGAUCUAGUUGGAUGAAGUGGAGAGGUGCAUUUGAAAUAUUAUAAGAUAGUCGCAUACCUUGGAGAUUGUAAGGAAUAUUUUACAGUACAACAGUUAGGCCCCCCAUGUUGCAUGGCUCAGAGUGCUGAGCAAUAAAGAAAGUACAUAAAAAGUAGAAAAGAUAAAAUAAAAGUAAAUAUAUUAGAGGUGCUAUAGGAGUUGCACAGAUUAUGAACCAAGUAACGGAAAAUUGAUUAGAUGGUAUGAUAUUUUAUCGUGAAAAUUUGAGGCUCUAGUAAGGAGAGGUACUUUGGUUUAUGUUGAAGAUGGUAAGAAAAGAAGGGAAAGACCUAAGGUGAUAUGGAUGGAGGUUGCGAGGAAGAAUAUGGAGAAACUUGAAAUUUUAUGUUAGAGGUGGCUCUAAAUAGGACUAUUUGGCAAAUAAGGAUCUAGAAAGUCGACCCCAAAUAGUUGAAAAAAGGCUAGAUGUUUAUGGUUAUGGUGUAUGUAAACUAUGAUACAAUGCGUAGAGAAUCGCCAAUCUCAAAUUAAUAAUAGUUUCUUUAUAACUUUAAGUGUAUCAAUGUGUUUGGUUUGUAGUUACUAGGAAACAUUCUGCUUAAUAUGGAUUAUCUGUCAUAUUGAUGAAUUUAAUUUUGCUGGAUUUUGCAGGUAUAACCAGCUAACAUCAUCUUUGGUCAAGAAAGGCAUCUGGUCUGAUGUAGAUGAUUACCGCUUGUUGGAUGCGUAAGGCUCUCAAUUUUAAGUAAUCAGGGACAAAGAAUGCUGAACAGGUCCGUACCGGCCAGUUCAGCCCGUACCGAACCGGUCUUUGAUUGGUUCAGUUCGGCGUUAAAAAACGGAACUGGCCUGUACUGGCCGGUGCCGGCUAAACCAAAAUUUUUUUGGCUUUUGGAUGCACGAACCAGACCGAACUAGUGGUACCGGUUCAGUACCGGUUCGAACCGGUUCGGUGGCCGACCGGUACGCCUACCAGUACCGGUUCGGCGAUCCUUGGUCAGGGUUGACUUGUCAACUAAUGUGGUUGUUAUUCUGACCGAUGCCCUUUUGAUUAUAAUAUGCAUGGAGAAGAGACUUUUGAGAGCAAUAUCUUGAUUUUUAUGAUCUAUGUUUAUAAUUUUCUGAAGUUAAAAAUCUCUUUUUUUUUUGUUGAUCGAAACUUGUUAGCCAUUAUAUAUUUUUCGUAUUGUUAGUAAAUGUUUAUGGUGAAUAUUUUAGCUAUAUUUGUACUACUAUAAAAGAUCUAAUAUUGAUUCCUGUUUAAAAGAGUGGCAUUGUACCAGAUGGUUGAACUGGUCAAAGGAUCAAUUGACCAAGUAAUGAUCCGGAUGGGCCCCCAAACAAUUCAAUGAAAAAAUCUUUUGAUUUCAUGACAACUGCUUGAAUGGCCUAUUUGACUGGUGACCGGAACAAACCAUCCCAGUUAUUAAUAACAACCAGCCAUGUCUGUGUGUAAAAAAUAUCUACCAUACUCUGUACUCCCCAAUCCCCAGUGUUCUGCACUGUCUACAAGAUGAGACUCUGGUGUUUAGUGUUCUUCGUUCUCCACAAGAUCAGACCUUAUGCAGCUGUCCCUCAACAAGGUCAGCAUUUGAGCUAUAUGCCCCUUUUCUCACCUCCCUUUUCCCUAAACUGCAUCAUGUGGUGUCUGGGCCAGUAAGGUAUCCUUCAUGGAUGAUCAUCGUGGUCAAGCAUUAUAGAUGAAAGUACAUUUGUAGUCAUCCCAACAGGCCAUCUCCUAAAUCCCCAAACCUUGUCCCCUUAACCCCCAAGUCAAAAAUGUAAACUCAUUUUUUUUAUUCUCUUCCAUCCCACCUAACUCCUUUCUUCCUCUUCUGUCUGUGACGGACUUGGUACUUACACAAAAGCUUUGCUAAAAUUUGAUAGGACAUGAUAUCAUCCGUAAUCCCUAAUGGCAUGCAAAUCCCUUCACGUGAUGGAAUUGGUUUAUGUGGAGUCAAUAAGAAAUCUAAGAUGGGAUUUAGGGUAGAAAUCACGUUUCUUUUCUUUUUUUUUGAAAAUGUAAAACUCUAUUAUUUUGUUUGUUAGAACUUGUAUUGCAUAUGACCAUACCAAUGAUUUCUUGAGCUAUUGUGAUGUCAUAUGAUUUUAAAGAGUGGUUGAAUGUUGUUGUGCAAGUGCUGCAGAAUUUUAAAAAUUUUAAAUAUUAUUCUUAUAAUGUAUUUAUAACUUUAUUAUAUUUAUGUCUAUAAUUAAUUGAAGUUAAUAUAUUUGUUUUGACAUGAUGACAUUAUAGUUCGCUGCAGGUUAACCCAAAUUGUUGAUCCAGUGACCCAACCCAGUUACUUUUUCAGUUUGAUACACAGUCCAGAUUUUAAAACCUUGCAUUGAUCAUAGUGAAUUCCCCCGUUGGUUCCCAAGUAUUACAUACCCAUGAGAGCUGCCUGUUUUCAGAACAAGUGAAACAGAACAUCAUAUGACUCUGUUCAAUGCUCUUUGGAUCAAUUUUACUUUUUGAUUUAAAGUGGACAUAAGAAACAUGACUACUAUAGUCCAUUCCAACCUAUAUAUUGGAAGUUUUGGAAUACUGGCAGACCUUUUUUUAUGAUUUUUUUCCACAUCAAAUUGUCCUUCUGGAUUUUAUCUUCCAUGAGGAAAACCAUACAUAUAUUUUUUUUUAUCUUUAGUUAACCUUGUAAGUAAUUCUAUUUUAUUCUAAAUAUUUUCUUACUCAUUUUUUGUAUAAUAUCCUCCUAAUAUAUUAAUAUAUUUUGGCCUUUUAUACAGGACUCCCUUAUUCCCCAAAUUAUAGAAGUUCUCUAGUUGAAUUGAUCUUGACAUGAACAUAGUAACAUUGUUCUAUUCAUACCAUAGAUGUCACACCAGGACAUAGCUGUCUUACAGUAGUUCAUCAUCUUGUAUGGAUGAGGAUCCUUUGCCCGACAAUUCUCUUAUGUUUUUGCACUACUCUCCUUGUGGAUGCAGGCUUCAAGAUGCGGAUGCUUGUUGUGUAGAAGAUGUUGACUGGGAUAAUCUUCUCGAGCAUAGGUAUAUAUGUUUUAAUGUGUUCUCACAACCCUUAAAUAUGAAUAACCAUUAAAAGUAAAUCCUCUACAGCUAUACACAAUUUGAUUGGGUUGUUCUCGGACACUUUUACAGUGGAAUUGAGGUCUACCAAGGUAAUUGCACAUAUUCAUAUAUAGCAGGCAUGAUCUGUUCUGUUGAAGUACCGCAUUUUCAUUUCACUGCAUCGGCACUUGUUAUUUUUAGCAGAGACAGUUACCAGAGACCCACCCAAAUGCUGAAACACAUUGGAGGAACCCAGUUUGCACCAGUUGCAAACAGCAAAUCCAGAAAUAAGUUUAGAUUGCUUAGAGAGACAACCUUACAGAAGAACAUCAAUAAGUUAACAUAGAUUUUAAUAGGAAAAGAGAUUUCCUGCUUGUGUCAUUUGCAUUUUUUUCUAAAAUAAAAAAAAAAUGAUAUGAGCUGUUCUUGCUUUUUAUAUUUGAAGAAUACUGUGUGGAAAUGUAUAAAAGAUUUUUUUUUCUUUUACUUCCACUUGUACAUAAACAAAUUAUAAGAAGUGAUUGUCUUGUUGGUAAUGUUAGGAUUCCAAUGAGGCAAAAGGUUAAUAGGUUUUUUUAACUUCUGUUAUUUGCAUCCCAGCUUCAAUAUGAACUUGAUGUUCUUUAUUUCCUUCCUAAAGGCUUAAAUUUGUUAUUUUAGCUGCAUACCUGUUCAUUCCCUGAACACCGAUGGACAACCCUUCUGCGUGCUAGUUGUGUAUACUUUGUUUUUUAUUGUGCAAAAUCUAGAAAUUGUUCAACAGAAUACCUUUAAUUUGGUUGGCUUGAACCAAGUUUAUAUCAUGUUUGUACACCAUCCUUCUAAAUGUAGUUUCCUGUUCUCUUAAGAAUAGGCAAAUACAUAACUAUGCUGCAACCAGAAGUUCCUCUGGUAUAAGCCUCACGUUGUUUCCCAUUUGAAUAUCACGUUAAUUGCAUAGAAUACUUCUUCCAAGUAAACUCUAUACUAGAUAAAUUGUGACAUUAUAGUCAUUGAUUGACUGUUAUAUUGCCCUAAGAGUCAUGGAGUGUGGCCUUUUGUUAAUCUCUAGUGUCUGUUAUUGCUGCCUCCACCAUGUAAUGUAAGAUUCGGGCUUCUAAUUAAUGCUUUUUAAUUCUCAGGUCUGGAGAAGUUUGUCGAAAACGAUGGAACCAAAUGAUCCGUCAUAUUGGUGGGCACCGGGAGAAGCCAUUCAUCAAGCAACUGGAAGUUCUCUUCGGACGCUAUUGCCCGGAUAUGCUUGAAUACAGAAAAUGAUGACAAGUAUUUUUGUUCGUUCUUUUCCUUUGGUUUAUAAGUUUUGUUAGGAUCAUGGCCCAUUCUCCAAGUUGAGAGAAACUUGAUAGAAUAUUUUUGUAACUGCAGUAUUGGAAGCUAAUUCAAUGGCAAGAAGAAAUGACCUCGGCUUAAUUUUAAGGGAUGGUGCAUAUUGAUGUCAAUUCUGGUGCCUAUUUUAAGUAUAUGGGAUAGCAAGGGCCUGCUUGGUACUGUUGUUUUUUUACCUGUUUCUGUUUCUGUUUUUCUACAAAUUAGGGAAAACCUGCUUGGAGAUUGGUGGAAAGAGCAUUUGCACUGUUCCUUAUUUUUUUUCACUUUUUUAAGUGGGAUUGACAAGGGCACGAGGUUUAUAGACAAUUUUGAAAACCAAUAAGUCUCAUCGCACGUAUUUGUUCCGUUUCGUUGAUUUUUUUUCUCAGAUUUUUAAAAAAGAAAAAGAGAACAAAAGUAGGCACGAGGUGGGUCUCAAAUAUAUUAUUCGGCAUAUAAGAUUCGAUGGGAAGGCCCUUAGCACGAGUUAAUGUGUCAGAUGCUGGCACGUAUUCAUGAUUGUCCGAACUUUGAUUCUGCUGUCUUUUCUAAAUUCAUGUCCAAAUUAUUUAAUCCAAAGUUCAUUUCUGGUCCGAUAAAAGUUGUUUUCUCAGCUUAUUCUAUUCUAAGCUCGGUUCAAAUCUUGAGAUUCGAUACGAGCACCGAAGUCCUCAGCUAUUGAACAGACGCAGCAAACGCGCUUUAUUCUUUCCCUCGAAUGACCCUGGUACCACCACCAAGGUGANNNNNNNNNNNNNNNNNNNNNNNNNNNNNNNNNNNNNNNNNNNNNNNNNNNNNNNNNNNNNNNNNNNNNNNNNNNNNNNNNNNNNNNNNNNNNNNNNNNNNNNNNNNNNNNNNNNNNNNNNNNNNNNNNNNNNNNNNNNNNNNNNNNNNNNNNNNNNNNNNNNNNNNNNNNNNNNNNNNNNNNNNNNNNNNAAAAAAAAAAAGAACUCUGGUACCGGGGGAAGUUUUUUCUAAUUUAUCUUUAUUCGGUAAUAACUUUUUUUAAUAAAAUAUUUAUUAUCAAUAUAUAUAUAUACACGCACAUUAGUUUGUGAUGAAUCAUGAAAAGAAUGAUAAGAAUUCCGUAUCUAUGAAUAUAGAUAUAGAAAAGAAAGAAUAAAUAAAGAUUUUAUUUUAUUUUAUAAAAUUUUUUUGGCACACCAUGUGAAGGAAGGGGGCAAGGUUCGACUCAGAUAGGAUUCAGGUGCAAAUGCAAAGCAUCAAUCCUUGUAUUGCAUGCGGCCUUGGAGUGAUUCUUUUGGUACUUUUCCUUCUUUUUUUUUUUGUUUGGUUUAAACGAGCCAAGUUUGAGUCACCUAAUCCUUAGCUCAAACUUGGCUCAUUUUGUAAUUGAGUUGUGCUCGAGUCAGCUCAUUUAAUUUUUAACAUUUGAAAGAUGGUAUUACGAGUAACUUGGAUUAAGUGAUUCAAGCACACCUCAUGUCCAGUUAGAUAUAAGCUUUUCUAUGGCCAAGCAUAAGUUCGGGCUUCAAAUAGAUUUAUGUGACACCAGCCUUGGCAUUUGUAGGUAUCAAAACGAAAAUAUAAGGUUAUAUAUAUUAGAGCUAUCAUUUUUUCCGCUUCACGGUUCGGUUCAGUUGGUAAUUCAGGGUGAAACAGGCUGAGGUGAAAAACAUAGCUCAAGCUACGACCUUCUUUUGUAAUUGUCCUGAGCUUAACCCAACUCAUUCAGUCUCAUGCUAGAUUUGUAGCUAUUCAUGAGGAGCUUGUUUAAGUGAUCUUGUCGGAGAAGGGUUCCCAAAGCUUUCCUUCAAAUGCUCCGAUGUUUUUCCAACAGCAAACCUAGAAAGAGUCUAAACUAUUACGUGGGGGUCAAAAUGCCAAACCUACCAUGGUGUCCUAGAAAGGAUAAAUAGCCUCAAGGUUCCUUUUUUUACAUUUUUUUUGUUCUUUUGCCAACUUACAUCAUUUAUUAAAUAGGAUAGGUUUAGAUUUAGAGAAUGGACUUUGUUUAACCUUUUGAAUGGUUAGAUCAUAUCAUGGCCCGACUCAUUUAAGAUCCAUUUAACCCAUUCAAGACUAAUUUAAUCGUUUAUUGCACAUUUAACCUAUUUAACUUGCUUUGACCAAUUUACUAAAUGGGGUUAGGGGAUUGGUUAGGUUACAUAUUUAAGAAAAAAUAGAUCAGGCUUGAGUUUAAAUUUUUGAUCCAUUUAAUAAAAAAGUCGAUUUGGUUCCCACAUAUUUGACCCGAUCGUAACGUACCCCGCCCACUAUUUCAAGCCAACUAGAGCCGACUGCUAUCACUAUUUAGGGAUCCUUUGAAGGAUAUUUUCUGUUUAAUAUAUACACUUUGAGCUGAUUUCUACAAUUAUUUGCCAAUUUUGUGGCUGAAAAAAAUGUUUUUUUAAUACAAACUUUGUUAAUAAAUGAGUCAUGCUUGAUUCUAGCUCAACUCACUUAUACUUUGAGCCAUGCCAAAACUCAAACCACAUUUUGUGGUGAACAUGAGCUCUCAUGAAAAUAGUUAGCACAUUUGACUGCCUCAUUGCAGGGGAUGUGAUGUCCCCUAAUAAAUUUUUAAAAUUUCAGGUUGAAUAACUAUAGGCCCCUUGAAUAACAUUUUUAUUAUUUCCGCUUCUCGAGGCCAAAGAAAAAAUCAGCUAGACUGAAAAUAUGCAUGGUGACAAUGUUUAGAAAUUUUGAUAGCUACUUAGGAUCUUCAAAUUGCUUUUAGAAAUUUUUAUAGAAAAAAAAUUUAAAAAAUUAAGCGCAAAUUUAUUGGUUUCACAUAUAUCUCACUCAUACGAAACCAGCUACGUAGGAUCUUCAAAUUGCUUUUCAUACUUUUGGAACGGCUAAUAAACUCCAAAAAAUGGGAUUAAUGCACGGGUAAUCUUUGAAAUGGAACUCCAUCACGAAUCGAACUAUUUACUUGCGACAGUAGAGUGUUACACACAAAUUGACGGCUUUAAAGCUUUAGUAAACAAAAGAGAGAGAGGGAGAGGGAGCUUUUUUUUUUAAAUAUUUUAGCUCUUUCUUUACCUACAUCAAGCUUAGAUGGAGGUUUAUGUACAGUAAUUCCUCCAUGAAACUCACAAUAAAUGAACAACCCCAUUAAAUCAAUUUGUUCAGCCCCCUUCACUUUCUCAUCCAUUGUGCUUCAAAGUAUGUAAUACACAUGGGCAUUAAAUUCCAAUGUCUAACCAUUUUCAGAAAAAAAUAUGCAAAGAGGAGCAACAAACCUAACAAUUGAUCAUCUUCAAAACCAGUCUUCCUCCAGUAUCUCAAAUAAUGAAUGAAAUAAAAGAGGGAAAUAGCAAGUAUCAAACAGGCACAGUAUUUCCUUGGUUGUCAUGCUAUCAUUCAUAUCAUGUCUCGAACCAAUGAUAGAAACGUUAUUUCCAAUUAGAAGCACUUCCGUCUGAAUUUUUUCCCCCACAAAUUACUCCGAUACUCUUUAUCUUCGAAAAUAAAACCUGGCUUCUUCUCUGACCAAGUCAUCUCAAAUACAGACAAAUGAAAAAUUUAAUAUGAGCGCCCAAGUAUUUUUAAUAGUAUGUGUUCCUAACUUUCACGUUUAUUAAUAGUUGCAUCACUUCUUCCUGGAGACAAAUCGGCAACCGUGGUUGGGGGGAAAAAAGGCAGCAAGGCAGUAACCAAGCACCCAAAUAAUAUUUUUUAUAGCAAAAUAACUAUUUUUAAAGAAAAAGUUUUAGAAUAUGAAUUUUAUCCCCUUUUUUACUUACAUUUUCACACAAUGUUGGUGUUUGAAUCCCUCCACCUACACAUUCAAUUGAUUAAAUCCCCAACGCGUUCCUCAUUUCAGGAAAUCACUUAGUUUAAGGUUUUUUUAAAUCAUCUAGAUUAAAUUUUUCUUGCCCUGUAUAAUUUAUAAUAAAAUAUAAAUAAAUAGAUAGAUAACAUUAUGAAGAUAAUAUCAGCAACAUAAACUUCAUAUUUUAUUUAAUCAAAAAACAAAAAGUUUAUAUCAGCAGCAUAAACUUUUUGUUUAAGAUUUUCCCAUAUGUUUAUCUUCGUCGAAGCUCUAUAUCAAAUCAUAUAUCAAAAAUUCAUAGCUCUAAAAUUUUUUAAUUUUAAAUUUUGAUGCUGAAACAAUAAAUAGUUGCAUUUUUGUUUCCACCCGCUUUCUGUUUUUUCCGUACAUAAGGAAAGGUAAAACUCUACCUUCCAAGCUUUACCCGUGGGCCACAAGUGGUUCCUGUCUCGGGCCCAUAAACCUGAGGUGAUCUCCCAGGGAUACACACAACCCCAGGCCAUCAUGAGACUCGAGCCAAAACCCUCCCUCAGCUUUCACAUUCCCCAUGGAGUCAAUGCAAAAGCUGUAAGUAUUAAUACAAAUAUACAAUCCACCGCAGUACUACUAAUCAUCACCUAGUUAUGAUGCCCCCCUCCAAAACCAAUAACAAACAUUAUUAUUUUCCUUUUUUUUUUUUUCAAAGGACGAGUACAUUUUUUGUCCCUUGUUCUCUCCCAUUUUUUUUCUUUUCCAGCAUCUCUAAAUUAUCACAUCAAAUGUGGACCAAUGCACUUGCCCAAUGCCUCUUCUGACCUCUGUGCUGUUCGCAGGGAAUAAAGCCAUUCCACCACCAAAAUGUUGGUGGAGCACCUACGUUUCACCUUAACUAGAACAACAAUCUUGUGUUUUAAUGUAACAAAAAAAUUGGGUCUCCUUUAAGAGGGUCAAAGAGGGGAUAUUCUAUAUUAACUUGCAACUGUAUUUAUUGACCUUUCAUUCGUUUAGAAAAGGGAUAAAAUGUACACCUCUUCGCGGCUCCAUGGAGGGAGUUAAUGAGCAUGUCGGCAAUCUGUACAUCAUAUGUACCCCCCCCCAAAAAAAAAACAUGAGAACAUCAUAAAUGGUCCAAGAGCAGGGAAGACAUGCAUGCGGAUGUGAACCCUCUGGGAGAAUGUUUGGUAGUACCUCACAGGCCCGGUUGGCCCCGGGGUUGUUUGUUAACAGGAUUCAUAAAUGCACACUCACCAUCCAUGAUGGGCACUUGUGUUUGUGUGCGUGUUUUUUUGAUUUUUUUUUUUGAUAAAAAGAAAAACGAACACAAGGGUAUGUAUCAAAUGAACCUGUAGGUGGGCUCCGCUUCAAUUACUUGUGGCACAAGUGCUUUCAUUCGUCAUUACUGUGCUCUAAAUUUUAAAAAAUAUAUUUUUUUGAAAUAUUAUUAAUUGAACUAUUAGAGGACACUCCUGCGUCGUCUAAGACUACAUCGGAGGAGCACGUCCCUUUUUUUUAAGCACCUUAGGUACCUUAUGGCGUACAUUCUGUUCCCACUAUGAUGUUGUAUUUAUUAAUGAUUAAAUGUUUUAUAUUAUUACAAUCCUUUGGUGGUAUGGUUGGUUUGUGUAUGGGGUUUGUUCUCACAAGAUUGUGAGUUCGAGUCCUGAGUCUUUCUUCCCAACGCGCCUUGCACGAACGUAAAAGCAAGUGCUUUUACGACCGUGCAAAAAAGGGAGGCGCAGCAACGCGCNNNNNNNNNNNNNNNNNNNNAUAUGAGGCCAGAUUUUUAAAGUACUGUUACUGAUUAUUAGAUCAUAGCUCAAAUGCAUCAUGCUGAUAAGGCAGUUAAAAGAUGGGUGGGAUAUAUAGUGUGAUUGGUGGUUUGAGGAUAAAAGGCGCUCUACCGGCCUUUAGGCACUUUUGCCUCAAAAUUUGGACCGGAAUAGAAAUAUAGUUCGGACGACUUUGAGAUCAACUGAAGACAAGCUACACAGGCUAGUUGAGGUACCGGAUGCUAGUCUCCUCUGAUUGGUGGCCUGCAAAAAGUCCGCUUAUCGAAGAGUUUCCAACGGAAACCCUCCGAUGUCUACGUUAGAACAAUGGAACAACAAUAUAGAAAGGAGAAAGAGUUUCAGCAGAUUGUCGCUUUGUGAAUAGGAUUGCAUGUAUAUUACGUACCCGAAGUCCCCCCGAAUUACUCCCCUUAUAUAGGGAAGCCAAUUUAAUUAUCGCUAUUUGGGUCGACGUGACGUACAAUAAUAGCCAGACAAUGACCGAUGGUACGACCGCAGCGUGGGUGCCAGUCCACAUGAGUGGUAGAGUGCGCUAGUGGGGCGCAGGAUGUGAUGCCGCCAUGACUGCGGACUAUCAGGGUUGUCGGUUGUUGGAACUAUCAGCCUUUGUCAACUCAUGCCAAUUGUCUUGCCAAGCCGAUGACUCAUCGAACGAUUGGCUCUUCAGCUGGGGCCGAGGAGUUCACAUUGGAUGGUUGGCUGCUUGGUUGUGGCUUACAUCUGAGGUAAAGGGGGAGAUCUAGUUUGAGGUCGAGGUACUUAAUAUUUUUCUCAUCACUUUUCCCUCACUUUCGAGGCCAACCUGCACUCUAGUUCUGGCGAUAGAAGUCAAAUGGUUACCUUGAUCGAGAGCGACGCCUCUAGCAGAGGCAUUGAGUGCACCGUUUGGUCUUUAUGAAGCGUUAUUAGGUCUGGGCUAUCCUGAGACAUCAUUAUUACUGAGCGACUCCGAGGCAUCAUUAAUGUGGCGAUUCAACAAAUCACCCAUGCCAUACCCUCUGUUGAUGCCUGAGUAGACGAAUCGAUAUAUUAAUUAGGAUCAUCUGCACACAUAUAUAAGGGUGUCUUCAUCCUUCAGACUCCACUUCUCGCUCCAUCUCCCUUCUCUAUCCGAGUGCUUGAAUCGUUCAAGCGCCCAGGUAGUGCUUCGACAAAAUCUUUUGUUUUGGGCUUCGGCAUCCUCCAUCUCCGACUUCAGCAUUCGUCGUGUCUUUCUAUUUUUUGUAGGCUUUCGCUCCUUGGCUACUCGGCUCUUUUCUCGUCUUCUCCCUCGCUAUCUUGUCUCUUUUUCCUUCAUUUUCAUCUUCCUCAUUAUGAGCGACCGUGAGGUUAGUACCCUAAAGGGGAGUCGGUCAUUGGAUCAUUCUUUCUGGGCUUGGCGGUCGUCACCUUUGGCUAAGUCUGGAGCCCAAUCGGGCUCGGACGAUGAGGUAUUUGUCCUCACACAAGAGGAGAUGGACCUCGUUCGAGCCCAGAACUUUAUCUCUCUCGAGCUCGUCUCCGAGCUCAUCGGUCCCAGUUUCAGGUUACCGAACCUUCUAUUUCUUUGCUCAGCCUAUAUGAGGAAACUCUGAGGGCACAAUGAGGCUGCCUCUCCAUCCUUUCUUCGUUCAGCUGAUGAGGACAUAUAGCUUUAUCCCAACUCAAGUAGUGCUGAACUCCUGGUGGGUCCUUAUCGUUUUUUUGUCUCUUUAUCUUCUCUAUGGUAUCUGAGCCUCUACUUCUCUUCCAAGGGUGCUUCACUUUGCAAAAGCAUCUCCAAGACAGCAGCUGGUGGUAUUUUUUUCUUAGAAAAGAAGAUUUUUUUUUUUGUCUGCUCCGAGCAGCCGUGAGGGUUCGAGACCGCAUGGAGAGUACCCCAGACUGACUGUGUCGGCCUCCGAAGUUGUCUGGUGAUGAUCAAAGGUCCUUGGACAAGCUUCUGGAGUCUCGAUCCAAGACUCCCCCGCCUUGCAGGAGCUACUGUCCGAGGAGACACUUAUAACAUCGGUCUAAGUCUAGUUGAACUCCUAGGUAAGCUCCUCUUGAGCUUUUCCUCUAUCACCUUAUCGUAUUCCUUUCUAACUUCGUCCUUAGUUUUGUAGUUCCCGCUGCCAUUAAGUUCGAUCCCUCCCAAAUUCAUGAGAGGAGGAACGUGUUGAUAUAAUUGUUGGCUCAUGCCAAUAUUUCAGCGAAAUCGAUGGGGAAGCACUUUUUUAGGAAGAAGAGGAAGCUUAAUAGCCACAAGCCACUCUUUAUUGCAAACAUUGCGACCGACUAAUUCAGUAUCGAUGUGUUGAAGCGGCUGCUAACAUAUUCUUUGAGAGAUUUUCUCUUCCUCUACUUGAUGUCGAGCAACAUGUCCGAGUUGCGGCGGCAUCUUUUAUUGGAGACAAUGUACCACGAAGAGGCGAGUGAGCUGCUUGAAAAAAUGAAUAAACUCGGGCCGAAGCCUGGAGAACCAGAACCGAGCCACCUUGUGAAGGGUCGCAAGGAACGCCUUGCAAAGCACGGCAUCAGUGGCUCCGUGCAGCAUUAUGAGAGCUUUGAAGCUCUCAAGGUGGUCCAAGAGAUCCGAGGUGCUGUCGUACGGCUCCAUUAAAGGCAUCCUGAACCAAUGUAGGAUUGGUUCCUUCAUGAUUUGGCGGAAAAAGGAGCUCCAAGAAAAAGUUGAGGUCAUUGCUCAUCCUCAGAGCCUGCCAUUUGAGGGCCUAAAUUUGGCGGUCUAUUUUCUCAAUCCUCCUAUCAAGAUCGACACCCCGCUAAGGUGGGGCCUCCAUGGGAUGAAUAGGUGGGAGGCUUCGGCCAAAGUUCCCAUCGAGAUGGAGGCUUGGAGUGCGUCAUCUCCCAUUCCUGGCGAGGUUGCUCUGUCGAGCAUGCUAACUCUGGCUAGACCGCUCGAGAUUCCGAUCUUGAGAGCGGUGGUUGUCCUAAGGCACGUGGUGUGUCGAUGACUGAGAAUGGGAGCUGUGCUGGUUGGAUUCUGGUUGGACUGGCCAUGUCAUUGCCUGCACCUGUUGAGUGAGCAGGUUGAGCUGCUCAUUGUCUAUAGGUGUCGUAAGCUGCUCCAAUAGAGCAAGUUCGGAGCUUUGUAGCAACCUUUGGGAGGUCGAAGCGCAGCAUUGAGAAGCAUGUGAUGUGCCACGAGUUCCUCACGACUUCAUGCUGGUUGUUUCUCCCUUCAGUUGAUAUUGAUAUAGUUGAGAGAUAUGCCCUUCCUCUAGCGCCAAUCUAUUGCCGCGGAAUUUGGAUUGAGGUGAGAAUACAGCUCCGACGACCCUGAGGUUAGCUAGAGACGAGCUGAGCAGGCUGUUGAGGUGUUGAGUGCUGGUCUCCUUUGCUAAGUGGUCUGCAAGAAGUCUGAUUGCCAGAAUGUUUCUGGCGGGAGACCGUUCAAUGCCUAAGUCAAAACAACACGGCAACAGUAUAGAAGGGAGAGAACUUCAGCAAAGGAUCGCUCCGUGAGUAGAGUUGCACGUAUAUUGCGUACUUGAGAUCCCCCGAAUUGCUUUUUCUUAAAUAGAAAACCAGUUUGUCAUUACCUGGGCCGACGUAGCAUACAAUGAUGGCCAGACAAUGACUGGUGGUAUGACUGCGGUGUGGGUGCUAGUCCAUGUAGGCGACAGAGUGCGCUAGUGGGGUGUAGGAUGUGAUGUCGUUGUGACUGCGAAUUGACAGGACUUCGGUUGUUGAGACAAUUAGCCUUUGUCGACUCGUGCCAAUUGUCAUGCUCGGCUGAUGACUCUUCAGUCGAUUAGCUUUUUGGCUGGGGCAAGGAGUUCAUGUUGGAUGGUCGGCUGCUCGGUUGUGGCCGAAGUAAUUCUUUUUGGCUUACAUUCGAGAUAAAAGGGAGAUCUGAUCUGAAGUCGAGGUACCCCAUAUUUUUCCCAUCAAGCACCUUUCGAUAGAGCCCCAAACCAAAUUUCAUAUUGUUGUGCCCUUUGUGGAUGGAAGAGUUAUCUUUUAUUUGUGGUGUUGGAAGGUAACUCAAUUCCUGUCCACCUCAUUGGUCUUGAGUUCCCUAUUCCAGGUAUGAGCUAUGGAACCCAAGAGUAAAUCAAUGUCAUAGUGACAUUUUUUGCCCACCGUCGUAAAUGGGGUAAUAUCUUUGAAGAGAGUGUAUAUGCCCACGGGGUAUGCAAGGACAAAAUAGCCGGAGCAACAGAUUUUCUCUGUUGAUUCAACUAGCUUUGGAGAUUCCGAUCUCAUCCCGGAAUAGGAUGCUGCAAUAAUUCUACCAGAUGAAUUGAGGGAAAAUAUCCCUGCAUUCCUUCUGCAAUCAGCAAACCAUAGGAUGGUGAUUGAAAAAAAUCCUUUCUUGUGUGCUGGCCUUGCGUCAAUAUCAGAACACGUAUAUGAUUGUUUCAUAUGUUCACAUAAUUCAUCAUAUAUUGCUAACAUUUAUAGUUACUUGAUUUGUAUCCUGCUGAUUUAAUUUGAGCUCUAAUAAUCGUAUAUAUACAUACUAUAAGAUGAAGCAUGGUUUAUAUCAACCGUGAAAUGGAUACAAUUCCACUGAAGUAACUUGGCAAGUCUCUCUCUUUUUUUUUAAUCUCUAGUUAUAUAAUACAGCUUGUAUUAAAUUUGUCUUUAUUUGCAUGCGCCGCAUGGAACUCAUAUCAUGAAUUCUCCAAACAGAUCUUACUAGUUACUACACUAAUGCACUACAAUAACCAAAGUAUUUAAGUAUAAUUAAUCUAUGACGUAUGAAUUGCGGUACAUUAUCCAUUCAUGGUAUAUCAUGGCCAUCUCAAGAGACUAACAAAAAUAAUAAUAAUAUAUCUGUGUUUGUAAUAAUAUCACAAAAAGUGUUGAUACAUGGCAAAAUCUUUCACAUAACUACAAACCAAAUAUAUUAUCAAAAAUACAUGAAAAUACAAAAAAAAUUAAAGGCUGCCAAAUAAGAAUAUUAAUAAUAGUAAUAAUGCUGAUAAUGAUAAUAAUAAUGAUAAUAAUAAUGAUGAUCAUAAUCAUAAUGAUAAUGAUAAUAAUAAUAAUAAUAAUAAUAAUAAUAAUAAUAAUAAUAAUAAUAAUAAUAAUGAUGAUGAUGAGGAGGAGGAGAAGUAAUAACAGCCUGCUUUUUUUUCCAUCAACUUAGGGUCCAUCACGUGCACCUCACAUGCGUUGGCGGACAAAAAGGGAUCGCGAGUUCGUCGCCGAGGAAUAAAGGCGGCGCACUGCUUUUUAUCAGUAGUGCUCGAUUCGCCGCUGCAGCAGCAGAAGGUGUUGUGGGGCCCACUCCUUUCUUAUAUUCCGAAAGUACCCCCACCACUUUAAAUCUAUUUCCGUUGCGACGACGUUACAGCCUCCGGCGGGAGUCGUGGGACCAGUGGGCCCUACUCAUUUUGUCGUGGAGAAGAAACGGAAACGAAACGUCACGCGGCCUUUCUCCUUCCCCCUCCCCCCGCUCUCUACUUUCUGAGAAGAAACGAGAAAAAAUAAUUAAGGAAAUCGCCGUGUUGGGACAAGGAAGAGCCAACGGAGGGUGAAUACGACCACCCCUCGCCCCUCGGCAACCGCUGCCGCUUGCCGUACGGCAUUGAGGGGCCCAAUCAGUCCAAUCAACCCAUGCCCACUGAAAGAGGCCCCACUAAUUAGCCAAAAGUUUUGAUUUAUUUCUUUUUCAUUGGAAAAUAAAGAAACAAAAAAAAAAUAGUGGAAGUAGAGUUCCGAGUUCAGCCAUAGAGAGUUUGAGUUGUGAAUAAAGAAUGGGCACCGCAAGAACGACUGCAUCACAGGGCCUCGUUAAUUCCGAAAUGUUAGAAUUUCAGAGCAACACUUACCGCAUGCUGGUAGCAGACGACAUAUCAAACAUCACUCCAUCCUCGGUUACACCCGCUGCCUCCGGCCAACCUCGCCACCACCUCCUCAGCAUCCCAUCACAGACGAGAUCGAAAUGGCAGAUACUUCACCCUUCUCCAGUGCCACCGGUCUUGACGACCUUCAUGCCGACGACGACCAUCGCUUUAGUUUACGAGAUCAGGAUCCUCUUCGUAUGUUGGGUGUUUAGCACCCAAAACCAUAUAUUAGGCCGUCUUUAUUUUUGAGAUGGUUAAUGGCAUCCAUUCCAAGUUUAAAAUCGUAGUGGCUAUCACACGAUGCAUAGCUUUCUCUAUGCAAAAAUAUGCACUCCAGAGGACCGGAUUUGAGUCCACGAGAACCGCCUGCUGGUUUUUUGUUUUUGUUUUUUUUUUGUACAACGGAGACUUACACACGACGAGUGUGAAUAUAACCACCAAAAUCAGAAAAAAAAAUUGUACAAGAAAUUAGACACAAACACAUGGUUCUCUCAUAUAAAGUCUUCGGAGUGAUAAGCAAUAAAAGAGAUAAUUCAGUCAGCAGCACCGUUCGCCUUUCGUUUUUAUGGUCGAGUCGAUCGUGCAGACACGUUUUAGUCACUUCCAUUCCAACCGUAAAAUCAUGGUGGCUAUCACAUGACGCAUAGCUCUCUCUAUGCAAAAAAAUAUGCACUUCAGAGGACUAAAUUUGAGUCCGCGAGAAGUGCCUACUUUUUUUUGGGGGUUACAACGGUAAUUUACCACGACAAGUGUGAGUGCAGCCAACAAAAUCAAAAAAAAAAUUACACGAGGAAUCAGACACGAAUAUAUGGUUCUCUCAGAUUAAGCCUUCGGAGUGAUGAGCAAUAAAAGAGACAACCCAAUCAGUAGCACUGUUCACCAUUCGUUUUUACGGUCGAGUCGAUCAUGCAUACAUGCUUUAGUCACUUCGAUCAUGGCCUAGGAGCUCAUAAUCUUUUUUUUUAUAUAUACUAAAAUCUAUUUCCGCAGCACCAAGCGACCUUCCAAUACCUUUGUUAAUAUAGCACUAGAUGAACAGUAUAAAUAAUUCGUUGCAAAGGCUAUUAUUACAAUAUUAUAACUGCGGUUAUUCUUGAAUCUCGAGGGGUUGGAGACAAUUCACUUCCCGGGAAGCCAAAAAGAAAUUCUCCACGGGAAAACGAUGCGGCCGAGACAGCCCCACAUCCCGGAAAACCAGGCGUCAAAACGGCGGCGACAUUCUUGACGUUCCCAUCCCUAUCCGCGGGAAUUCCGAGGACAAGACCGGACCUGACAGAGAUCACGGGUGGGAAUCGAGAAUUGGGCGGAAUAUCUCGCUCGACUUCGCUCCCCAGCGAUCUUCCUCUGUCUGCCCCUUUCCCUCGCCGUCGGCAUGUCUUCGGCCGCUCCCCGUCGAGCCAAAACAACAAAAAGGGGAUAGCAGGCACGAUAGCGACCCAACGGCUUUCCGGAUUGCGACGCCCUCCCACCCCCUCUGCCACGAUAUCCGCUCAUUUCGCCGUAUCCGCUGUUUGGAGCCCUCAAAAAGAUAAAACUGGAAUGGCUGUAUUACUACUGUGUCUUGGCAGCCUUGGACCGUGGUGUUUUGGAAGUUACUUGUUUUUGAAUUGAUCAAAUAGAUCGCCGUGAUGUUAUGGGGAUUCGAAGUUAUCUUUCCAUCAUCGCCUAGCUAAAGGAGAUUGUUUUCCUCGAUAGAAAUUAACACAUUAGACCUAAAUUGCAACCAUUGGAGAUGUAAUGCGAGGGUGCAUCAUUUUUUUUUCUUUAACAGCCGCUCACAUAUUACAGAUGUAGAUACGACCAAUAAAGUCCAAAAAUAAAAGGCUGCAAAAAGGCUCUGGCGCAGACCUACUGCCCAACCAAACGAAUCCAUCAGAGUAGUGGCCGCAAAAAAGGCAACCCAAUCAGCAGCACUAUAGGAUUGGCAUGACUAGGCUCUUGUCUACUCUUGAUUGAUGCUCUAAAAUAUUUUCUUUGCAACCAAAGAAGUAAUUGAAUUUCUCGUUGUAAAAUUAGACGGAGGUCGUUUUCAUUCGUUGGUUAGCAUGGACUUUUCUAGCAAAUUAAAGGUAAAUUAAGGAAUCCAAGGCUGUCAUUGAGAUAUCAGAUUGUUAACCUCCUUGCAAGUUACAAGAAAUAAUAUAAAUCCUAAAAUGCCAUGAAUAGGAACAUUCUCCAUGUUUCUACUAGGAACUCCAUGAAUUGUAGCUGAGAAGUGCAAAUGAUGUUUCCUUUUUGUGAUUGGCAAUGAUAUGAGCAUUAGUUCAGUGGUCAUACUUCUCCGUUUUAAAGCAAGGAAUACGGGAUUUGAGUCUUGAAUGAUGUUUUUCCUCAAGUUUUAAACUCAAAUAUGGAUGAAAAUGCUUUCCAAAUAAAAAUCUUAGAUUUGAGUCAUGUACUAGUCCAGAUAGAGAUAUGAUGAUGGUCUCCCUCCUAAUCUGUAAAGAAGAACGGCAUAGAAAACCACUUCAAGAACCUAUAAUUUUUUCACAGACACUACAACAAUAAAGGGUUUUGGCGACUCUAUAUUGCCGACGCUACAAAAAAGCGUCGGCAAUUUUUUUUCUUGCAACGGUAACUGCCGACGCUUGUGGAGAGCGUUGGUAAAAAAACGUUCCGCCGACGCUUUUAAGCGUCGGCGUAGGAAAAAAAUACGACGACGCUUAUAAGCGUCGUCGGACUUCACUCCUCCCCUCCACAAAACCCCAUCGACCCCCUCCCUCCAUAGCCCACAGUCCGGUUCUUGAGCUCCAAGAGUCNNNNNNNNNNNNNNNNNNNNNNNNNNNNNNNNNNNNNNNNNNNNNNNNNNNNNNNNNNNNNNNNNNNNNNNNNNNNNNNNNNNNNNNNNNNNNNNNNNNNNNNNNNNNNNNNNNNNNNNNNNNNNNNNNNNNNNNNNNNNNNNNNNNNNNNNNNNNNNNNNNNNNNNNNNNNNNNNNNNNNNNNNNNNNNNNNNNNNNNNNNNNNNNNNNNNNNNNNNNNNNNNNNNNNNNNNNNNNNNNNNNNNNNNNNNNNNNNNNNNNNNNNNNNNNNNNNNNNNNNNNNNNNNNNNNNNNNNNNNNNNNNNNNNNNNNNNNNNNNNNNNNNNNNNNNNNNNNNNNNNNNNNNNNNNNNNNNNNNNNNNNNNNNNNNNNNNNNNNNNNNNNNNNNNNNNNNNNNNNNNNNNNNNNNNNNNNNNNNNNNNNNNNNNNNNNNNNNNNNNNNNNNNNNNNNNNNNNNNNNNNNNNNNNNNNNNNNNNNNNNNNNNNNNNNNNNNNNNNNNNNNNNNNNNNNNNNNNNNNNNNNNNNNNNNNNNNNNNNNNNNNNNNNNNNNNNNNNNNNNNNNNNNNNNNNNNNNNNNNNNNNNNNNNNNNNNNNNNNNNNNNNNNNNNNNNNNNNNNNNNNNNNNNNNNNNNNNNNNNNNNNNNNNNNNNNNNNNNNNNNNNNNNNNNNNNNNNNNNNNNNNNNNNNNNNNNNNNNNNNNNNNNNNNNNNNNNNNNNNNNNNNNNNNNNNNNNNNNNNNNNNNNNNNNNNNNNNNNNNNNNNNNNNNNNNNNNNNNNNNNNNNNNNNNNNNNNNNNNNNNNNNNNNNNNNNNNNNNNNNNNNNNNNNNNNNNNNNNNNNNNNNNNNNNNNNNNNNNNNNNNNNNNNNNNNNNNNNNNNNNNNNNNNNNNNNNNNNNNNNNNNNNNNNNNNNNNNNNNNNNNNNNNNNNNNNNNNNNNNNNNNNNNNNNNNNNNNNNNNNNNNNNNNNNNNNNNNNNNNNNNNNNNNNNNNNNNNNNNNNNNNNNNNNNNNNNNNNNNNNNNNNNNNNNNNNNNNNNNNNNNNNNNNNNNNNNNNNNNNNNNNNNNNNNNNNNNNNNNNNNNNNNNNNNNNNNNNNNNNNNNNNNNNNNNNNNNNNNNNNNNNNNNNNNNNNNNNNNNNNNNNNNNNNNNNNNNNNNNNNNNNNNNNNNNNNNNNNNNNNNNNNNNNNNNNNNNNNNNNNNNNNNNNNNNNNNNNNNNNNNNNNNNNNNNNNNNNNNNNNNNNNNNNNNNNNNNNNNNNNNNNNNNNNNNNNNNNNNNNNNNNNNNNNNNNNNNNNNNNNNNNNNNNNNNNNNNNNNNNNNNNNNNNNNNNNNNNNNNNNNNNNNNNNNNNNNNNNNNNNNNNNNNNNNNNNNNNNNNNNNNNNNNNNNNNNNNNNNNNNNNNNNNNNNNNNNNNNNNNNNNNNNNNNNNNNNNNNNNNNNNNNNNNNNNNNNNNNNNNNNNNNNNNNNNNNNNNNNNNNNNNNNNNNNNNNNNNNNNNNNNNNNNNNNNNNNNNNNNNNNNNNNNNNNNNNNNNNNNNNNNNNNNNNNNNNNNNNNNNNNNNNNNNNNNNNNNNNNNNNNNNNNNNNNNNNNNNNNNNNNNNNNNNNNNNNNNNNNNNNNNNNNNNNNNNNNNNNNNNNNNNNNNNNNNNNNNNNNNNNNNNNNNNNNNNNNNNNNNNNNNNNNNNNNNNNNNNNNNNNNNNNNNNNNNNNNNNNNNNNNNNNNNNNNNNNNNNNNNNNNNNNNNNNNNNNNNNNNNNNNNNNNNNNNNNNNNNNNNNNNNNNNNNNNNNNNNNNNNNNNNNNNNNNNNNNNNNNGCUUGUUCAGAAUAAUUUAAAUCUUGUUCUCUACAUAGAAAGUCAUCAGAAGGACUCUUUCAUUACCUUUUGAUUUUCUCAAAGUACGUUGAAGAUGACUCUCCAAACAGGUAUUUUCAGUUCAGUAGGCAGAUCUUAGAAAGCCUAGGCUUUGGCUCUUCCACCAAAAGAAAAAGAAGAAAAUGUCACAUCUCUAACAUUGUGUGGGAUGCUAUGAUGAAGCUGAAGACACCAAGGCAGUAUAUUUGAGACAACAGAUAUCCUGAUGCUUGUUUAUGAGUAUCUUGUAUUACUUCGUGCUUCUAUAUAGAACCAAUUGUUAGUAGAAAGAUAAUGCAUCCAAUUGUUUGUCAUCUUUUUAAAAUCACGAAUUUUUUUUUUAAAAAAAUAAUAUUCUAACGACGUUUUAAAGCGUCGUUAAAAUCACGAAUUUUUUUAAAAAAAAUAAUAUUCUAACGACGCUUUAAAGCGUCGUUAAAAUCACGAAAUUUUUUUUAAAAAAAAUAAUAUUCUAACGACGCCUUCGGCCUGUGGCCUCGUCCCCCUCAGGGGGAUUUACUUAUUCGCGCACACAUAAAGCGUCGUUAAAAUCACAUUUAACGACGCUUUAAAGCGUCGCUAAUUUCCGACGCUUUUGAAAGCGUUGGAAAAUAUUUUCCCCACUGUAGCAUAGGCGACGCUUUACCGACGCUUAGGAAAGCGUCGGGAUGGUUUUUACCGACGCUUAAAAGCGUCGCUAAAGGCCAAAAAAAGCGUCGCUAAUGCCCAAUUUUCUUGUAGUGAGAGCAAAUAGCAAAUAGCUACUGCUAUGAUUUAUGUACGAAAAAAAAACUACCAUCAAAUGCAUGAUAUGAUAAAAAUAGAACAAUGGCUUUCCCUGCUAGAAUAGCAAAAACGUAGAAGAAACUGAUUGCCAGCUAUUAUAGUGUUGUCAUGCUUAUGCCAUUCCCAUGCUAUAGGGAAGAUACUAACAUCUUGGUAACUAACUUACGUGGCGAGCAACAGAAAUUGCACCAUCUCAAUGCUGUCAGCAAUUAUAACAUGUAUGCAAGGAUUAUAUUUUUCAAAAUUGACAAAGCUUCUAGCUAAAUAACUAUAUGAAUAUUUAGGACACAUAUGAAAAAUAUUUAAAUAAACCAGCUCUUAUAACCAACUUUUUAUUAUAGUAAAUUCUGGAUUAACAUUUCUGGAGGUAUUUUGCAUAUGCAUGAUAGGUUUAGGUAGAGACCAAACAUCACUAACCUAUAACAAAUAGUGAAAAAAAUAUCAAGGAACAAUAGUAUAUAUGUUGACCCUAACAUUAAGAACUAAUCUUUCUAAUAUAUCACUAGAUUUUAUGUAUGUUGACUCUAGUGAUGCCGGUGUUUUCAUUCUCCAAAUUAAAUACAAAACAGAGUAAUUCUAUUGCAUGUAAUUCGAGCAGCAUGGAAGAAUAUAUCGUAUGCGAGGCGGAUGCUCGGUGCCGAGCAGGUGUACAUCUAGGGGGACUCAUCGAUGGGUUCGAGUGGAUAUGGGGUGCGGAUAGAUAUGAAGAUAGUUAUCCACUUAUUUGUGAGACACGCAAGCUGAUUGUGAAGAUGGGUGAGCACCAUGUAGUACAUAUUUUUCGAGAGACGAGCAGAACAGCAGACUGGAUCGCCUCCUAUGUUGCACGACAUUCCGAAAAAUUCUUAUGGAUGUCCACAGUAGAGCUUCCGCUCCAAUUGUACUUUUUAUUUUCUUCUGACUUGAUAGGAUGUAUUCAUGUUAGAAAUAUAUGAAUUGCUGUUUUUAUCCAAAAAAAUAAAAAUAAAAAUAAAAAAAAUCAAGUAAAUGCUACAUGGAAUCCCUACAAAACUACGUCUGAAUAGUUUUGCAGCUCAUAAAAUCAGAAUCUCUGUACACAGCCUCUCCUUCGAGUGUUUCAAUUCCAUCAAUAAUUCGAGCAUGAGCAGAGGAAGCUACAGGCAUCCUCGGAUACUCUCCACCCUCGGACUUUCUGUGGCUCACAACCUGCCACGUCAUCCACAAUAGUCCACUGCGCCUGACGCAAGCGCACACGUGGCUUCCCCGACCCCUAAUAAAUUCCAUUGGAACACGUCACGGACCAUUAAUCCACAGAGACUUGUGGCCGACACAUUCCCUGAUUUGCGUUUUAAGCUCCCCAUAUUAAAUGGCUGCACAUCUGACGUUUCAAACCGGGCGCGUGCUCUGAACCAGUGGAAAUGAGACACGUGGUCGAACGGUCUGUAGCCGGCUAACGUGCGCGAAGCAUAACUAACCUACGCUCUUAGCCCGCCAUAUCUCCGUGAACCUUAUUAACCUGCUCUUGUGUCUGGUGACAAGACCACGCCCGUCCCUAGCCCCUAACCUAGCAUCUGUAGGCACCAACUCAUAUAAAGCAGCGUCGAUACGCCUUUCUCUCUCCAGCUUUUUCGUCCGGACAUCUGGACUUUGUACGUGCGAUCAAAGGACAAAUAUGCGCCACUUUUACGAGAACCAAGAUAAAGUCACCGCCCGGUGAGAAUAAGGAGCUAGUCGAAGAAUUCCAUUUUUUCUUCCCAUAAUUUCCAUUUGGUGUGCGUUUCGGUGGCGGGAGAGGCCGGUAAGAUUACAUUACGGUUAGGGUGGUGGUAUAAUAAGGUCGCUUGCAUUAGAAAUUCUUACGGAGAAAUUCUAUACGGACGAUGGAUGUGCUGGAAAUGGAUGGGCGAGAUCUAUUUGCGCGGGAAGAACGGCGGAUGUUACACCCGCAUAGGAAAUUCUAUGAAUGCGUGUAGGUGGUUAUUUUCGCGACGUGGCGUAGUGUUUCGACAAAUCGGCGAUCAGGGUCUGGCCCACGUAAUCGGACCGACAGCACCUGGCCCCAAAUUAAAAUAAAGAGUUUUUUCUAACAUAUAUUAUAUAUAAACUCUUACAUAUAUAAAAUUAUAUAAAUAUUCUCCAUGUAUUUUUUUAUAUAUAUUUGUAUCAUCUAAUAUUGUUAAAAAAUAAACGGAUUAAAACUAAAAUAACUAAAAAAUUUUAUAGAUGAUAUGCAAAAAGAAAUAUAAGAGUAUACACUCAAAUAGCGACUUUUAUAAAAAUAUUCAUUUAAUUUUCUAUAUUUGAAGGAUAUAAAUUCAAAAAAAUUCAUAAGAAAAAUCAAAACUCGGUUGGAACUUUCUAAGUCUUUUAUAAUUCAAUUGGAUUGGCAAAUCAAAAAAAAAUUAAGCCACGUUGUUAAUUUUCUUUUCUAAGAUCAUGACUCGGUCAAGUUCGAAUAUUAAGUGAUCAUUUUGGUAAUUUUAUUCUCUAUUUGAUUUUAAUAUGAUUAUCAUUAUUGAAUCUAUGACAUCUAUAUAUUCUUCAUUCUUUUUAAAAAAUAAUAUAUAUUAAAUUUAAAUUAAAUAUGAAUGCUUAGAUUGGUAAAAUAUUUUUAGUGAUUUGUAAAUAUUGAGCUUUUGAGGCAAGAAUUUCGUGAAAGCAAUAUGAUUCAUUUUGUAAGAUUUGAUAUUAACAUAAGAUUAUGUGAUAUAAUAAUAUCAAUCUUUUUUUAUGACUCUUUCUAUUAAGAAAUAACUGAAUUAUUUUUUCUAAACUUUAAUGAUUUUUAUUAAAUUUUUUUUAAGCAUAUACCCUUCUAAAUAUGCGUAAUUGCACGAAUACCCUUACAAAUUGCUAUUCGAAUGUGUAACCUUAUAAAGUUUUCUUUUUACACGUCUACCUAUAAGAAUAUUUUAGUUAUUUCAAAUUUAAAUCGUUUAUUUUUUAAUAAUACUAUAUUGUAUAAGUAUAUAUAUAUAUAUAAAUAUACGUAUAAAAUAAAUAUUUUAUUAAAAUAUACAUCUAAAUAAUAAUUUUAUAAAAACUAUUUAUAUAAUUUUUUAUAUUUUAGAGGAUAUAUAUGCAAUAAGCCUCAGGUCAGGUCAACAAUAGAGUGGGAGAGAGGGAAGCCGAGCAGAACGCUCGCUGGAAUCUUCGUAUCUCUCUCUUCCGAACGCCAGCAGACGAAACAGUGGAUGAAGGGAGAGCAGAGAGGAAACAGUUCCAAUACUUCUCUCUCCAGAGUCCAGAUUAGAAAUCCCGCAUCAUCACAUAAUUAGUAGCCCUCCCCGUGCUUCUCUCGCCGAUUUAUCCUCGGAUUCUUCUCGUUCUUGGAGAUUCCCGUCUCGCCUUCUGCUCUCGGAUCGCCGCACUAGAGUUUCCGUGAGGUGUAGCCUUCAGAUCCGCCAUCGUCGUAUUCUCCUGCCGGGUUGAUUCCUGGAUCCGUGUUUCUGGAGUUCUUUUCUUGAUUUUAUUAGUUCGGCUGUGGAACUCGUUUCUUGUUGCUUUGGAUCCGGGAAAUCGGAAUCUAGGGUGCAGUUUCUUGAUUUCGAGGGGUUUUUGAACGGUUUGGGAGAAAGACUUGAGGAGUUACAAGAUUCGGUGCGGUUCUAGUGGAUCUUUGAGGGGUUACUGGGAUUUACUAAGGGUUUCGUUUUCGGGAGAGGAUUUAUUCGCGGAUUCGAAUGACGGUUGAGUCAAUGCAGGUCGCGAGCCUCUCCUUUGAAAGGAUUUUGCGGUUCCUUUAAACUGGAAGAUUUUCCGGGUCCUUUGAACUGAAAGCUUCUGAUGAGGUACCAGCCGUUCUCUUAUCUAAUCUUGGAAUUAUAGAUGUAAUAUUCAGAUCUGAUGAUCAAAAAAAGAAAGAAAAAAGAUGAGAAAAUAGUUUGUAGAUUAUUCUUUAGUUACUGGCACUGAUCAGCUGUCGAAUUUUCCUUGUUUGCAGAGCCUUGUUUGGAUCUUUGCUGCACUCUAGGACCCCUCAGUGAUACUGAUAUGUAAGAUAGUUCUAUCUUUUUUCCUGGUUUUUAAAUCAGAAUAACAACAUUAGCGGGGAGACGGUGUUUUUGCGAUUCAGUAUGGACUUUUACUAACAGUAUCAGUUGCAGUUUUCGUCUUUUCAAGUCUGAGAUCUCGAAAAUGUCAGGUAUGUUUAUUUAGUUUUUCCUCCCUCGACUCUGUAGAAUAGUCAUAUAAAAGCAGUGAUUUGAUUGUUUUUUUCUGAACGAUUGAUCGUGCAUUGCGGCAUUGCAGUCUGCCACGCAGAAGGAUUUGAAGGAUCGGUUAGUUGUGAUGAGAGAAAGGAGAGGAGAUCAGAUGUGGAGAUCUCGGAAGACGAAAGAAGGAGAACAAAGAUCGGGUCUCUGAAGAAGAAGGCUUUGAAUGCUUCCACUAAGUUUACUCAUUCUCUUAAGAAAAGAGGGAAACGGAAAGUCUAUUUCAGGGUGCCUUCUGUUGCUAUCGAGGACAUAAGGGAUGCUGAAGAGGAGCGCGCAGUCUAUGCUUUCCGGCAAGAGCUUGUUGCCAAGGAUUUAUUGCCUGAUAAACAUGAUGACUAUCACACAUUGCUCAGGUUAGCAAUGAUGUUUAAGAUUUUCUUUGCGUUCUGUUUUCAUAAUUCAAUCAUCUGCUAUACCUGAAGCUGUGUAAUGUUUGUUAUUAUAUCUUGUAAAAUUUUAAGUUCUAAGCAUGCGUUUAAGCUAUACCUAUGGUGGCUAAUUAUUCCGUUCAUUUUGUGCAGGUUUCUCAAGGCUAGGAAAUUUGACUUUGAGAAAACGACCCAUAUGUGGGCUGAGAUGCUUAGAUGGAGAAAAGAGUUUGGAGCAGACAACAUUUUGGAGGUGAGGCAACUAUCACAUACUGCAGAGCACUUCUACAUGCAUUAAGGAAACAGUUUAAAGAUUUGGGAGGCAUAGUGAGUCUUAUCAGAUAAUGAUAUGAUAACAACAAGAUUAUGGGAGUCUGAGUCUUUAUAAAAGUAUAUGUAUCUUUAUUGCAAAAUAUGGAAAGUGAAUAAUCUAGAUGUGAGUAGUUCACUGUGUGACAGAUUUAACAGUCUAGUGCAAUCUUUGCCAAUUAUAAGAAGCUCUAUUUUCUAUUUGUUUUCAAAUUUAUCAGGGUAUUAUGGUUCAUUUCGAUCUGUCCUCUCUGAAUGGUCUUUGAGGAUGUAUAUCUCUUUAGAGGUACAGUUAAGAACUUCUUUCUAUAAUGUGUUAUUUUCACACAUUUACAUCCUUAGUUUUAGCUAAUCUUUUUAUUAUAGCGGGCUAAUUCCAGCAUAAAAAUGUUUUCACAAUUUAUAAUGCUUGUUGUUCUGAAUAUGUUACUUCCUUAAUUACAAUUUGCUUUUGUUAUCUCGAAGCCAUUCUUAAUCCUUAAUUUACAUAUGGCAUGGUAAUGACAAUCAAAUGUACUGGAUUCAAGGAUUUUGCCUUUGAAGAACUGGAGGAAGUCCUGUGCUAUUAUCCCCAAGGAUACCAUGGAGUGGACAGGCAGGGAAGACCUGUAUAUAUUGAGAGGCUCGGAAAAGUUGAGCCGAACAAGCUUACUCACAUUACCACCGUCGAGCGCUACAUAAAAUAUCACGUACAGGAAUUUGAGAAGGCCCUGCAUGAGAAAUUUCCUGCUUGCUCAAUUGCUGCCAAAAGACACAUUGAUUCGACAACUACAAUACUGGAUGUGCAUGGUGUGGUAAGAUGGCACCUCUGCUUUUUUUUUUUCUUUCUUUUUCUCUAUUUUUUUAAUCUGUUUACUGUAUUAUUGAUGCUAAUAUGGUUACAAGGGUUUAUCUCUUUUAAAUGAGAAACAGAAAAGAUUUCCCAUAUCAUAUUUUGCUUUCUGGUGAUCUUCUUUAGUCACCGAGGAAGCCACUCUGAUAUAGAGUUGUCCUUGUAUUGGUAUUCAGGGAUUGAAGAAUUUCAGCAAGACAGCAAGAGACCUCUUGCACAAUAUGCAGAAAAUAGAUGGUGAUUACUAUCCUGAGGUAUCUACUGUUUUAUGCUAACAUAUUCUUGUCAAGUAGCUCUUGUUUAGUAUUCAUAGGAGGGUUGCUCAAACGUUCAUGUAUGCAGACACUACAUCAAAUGUUCAUUGUAAAUGCUGGUCAUGGUUUCAAGCUGCUUUGGAACACUGUAAAGGGAUUUCUUGACCCCAAAACUACAGCAAAGAUACAUGUAAAGAUCCAUGCUUCUGAAGUAAAUAUGUGGGUUUCUCCCCGAUUUCUUCAGCUUUGAUUCAUGGUUUAUUUAAUAUGCACAGGUACUGGGGAGCAAAUAUCAGAGCAGGCUUCUUGAAGCUAUUGAUGCAAGGUUGGUUUGUUUUAUCUAUGCUAGCUCUGAUGCUAUCAAUUGUUUCCUUUAUAUUCUCUAGCUGCUGUAAAUCAGAUUUUCCACCCUGGUUUUUCCUUCAGCCAACUGCCAGACUUCCUGGGUGGCUCAUGCACAUGCUGUGAUGAAGGUGGAUGUCUUAGAUCUAAUAAAGGACCAUGGAAUGACCCUGUCAUUAUGAAGGUAGGACAUGUCAUGCAGUAACAGGCCAACCAUGUUAUAUUAUAUCAGAUCACAAUUUCUUUAUAUUACAUCCUUAAUCAAAUAUACAGAGUCCGUUGAUCAACCAAGAGCAUGAAGUGCACUGAUAUGAUUUACGAUUUUUACCUGUAGCUUGUACAUUGUGUUGAAGCAGCAUUUGUGAGGGAAAUUAGGCGAGUAUCUGAUGGAGAACAAAGAAAUGCUCCCUGUCCUAGGCUACGUCCACUGAAGGCAAGACACUGAAUUGUUCAUGGUGUUUAGUAUAGGUUGAUUGUGUAGAUCAAUUAUUCAUCUUUCCUUUUGCAAACUGAAUGGCAGGGAAGAUGUAGUGACACAUCAACAGCUGAAUCAGGAUCAGAUGUUGAUGAUCUUGGUUCUCCUGUUAUAUCCAGAACUGCUGAAUACACUCGAUUGGCUCCAGUUCAAGAGGAAGUGAGUAGUGUGCUUUGAUUUACAUGUGCAAUAUGACCAUAUUUAUGAACCUUGUUUUGUAAUUUUUUGACUAUGCAUGAAGAUGUGUUAUAGUUAUGAUGUGGAUCUGAAGUGCCAAGAUGGAUAUCUCCUAUAAUAUUUAAGCUUACAAACGAGAUUUGAAGUGGAUACCAUAUUAAGGUAUAUUAUGAUGCUUUCAUCUUUAGGAUACACAGCUUAAUUUGAUUCUGGAUAUGGAGACUAAUGCAGGAUCCUUCAUUAUAAUAUCUUUCAUACUAAAAAGAAAAAAAAAGAAAGAAAACAAACAUCUAUCUAGAAAUUGGACUGAUAAGUGAGUAUUUAUAAGUUCUAUUUCACCUUACCAUUUCAUAAGUUCUUUUUAGAGCUCAUUUUUUUCAACAAACUAAUCCGAUAUUCCUAGGAAGAUUGCCUUCUAAAGGAUUUCGAAAGUUUAAGUUGGAAGUUGAAGCAGGUCCUAGAGAUGGUAACAUAUUUAUUUUGUGUGUUUCUCUGUGAUUUUCUAAAUCUCCACUUUCUAGGUAACAGCCACUCCCUGUAAUGAUAACGUUGAGCUCACUCCCUUGUAAGAAACAGAUAAGAAAAAAAGAAGACCAGAUAAUAAAACUUAUGGAUAUAUGCAAUGGUGAAUCUCAAAACAUAAUGUUGACCUACCAAUAUUAUUUGCUGGAAUUAUAAUAUUCAGAUAUUGACACACUUAUAUUCUACCUGAGCCAUUUCCUUAUUGACUUCAUAUAUACUAUGACAAUAUAUGAAGGAAAAAUUAGUCAUUUCUUUAAAGGCCUGUUUAGAUGACAGAAGAUCUUAUUGGCCUGAUAAGAUCUUCCUAUGGAGGGACUUUAUCGUGAAAAUACAGUGAAGUGGACCCGGUCCAAUAGAUUGGAGAAGCAAUGGAACACCUAAUUGCUAUUAUCUAGGGAUAAGGUAAAUCACCUGGAGAAUGGAAUCCAUUAUCCCUGAAAAACAAGGAUUAGCUAUCACCUGGCACUGUGAUCUCUUGGAGCCAUCCCAACUUAGCCGUACUUUUAAAAUGAACACAACCGGCCAGAAGAUCUUACUAGACUGAUAAGAUCUUCUGGCAUCAAAACAACCCCCAAAUCCUUGAAUUAUUCUGUUCAGUCAUACUCAGUUCCCAUUCUUGCUCAUUCACUAACAUGUAAUUCACUUAGGCUGAUUUGGAAGUGGAAUAAGAGGGAGUAAAAGCCAUUUAAGUUAGUUAAUCCACCCUUUUUCAGCCAAACACUUGGGUAAACCAUGUCUUCAGAAGGGCAAAAAGUUAUUUCUGAAAAGUUGGUACCCAAUAAAAGAGGGGUAAUUUAUUCUGGAGCAAAGAGGAGUAGGAGUAAGUUAACCCAUUUACACUGGUUAACUUAUUCCACUUCCAAAUGCAGCCUUAACGUUAAAAGAGGGUGCUGGGCGGAGUGGGUCCAAAUGUCCAAUAAACAACUUAAUACUAUUUGCUUUAUAUAUGCUUUGUUGAAUGCUGAAUUUUGUUGUAUCUAUUGGAAAGCAUGACUUUCCGUUUUUCACUGUUCUAGAUUCCCUAAAGUGUUACUUUAUCAUAUUUAUAUGCCUAUUACUUUUUCCUUUUAGGGUCUGUAUUAUUGCCUCACCAAUAUAUCCAUGAUAUAUCUCUCAUGGGAUUCAGAUCUGAAUUUCUUUUUAAAUUUUGGGAUACUAUCAAAAAGAUGAUUCUUUUGUCCAUCUUGAAAAAUCUUUAAACUAUGGCAUCAAAGGCCUUCUUAUUCCUUUCUUCUUCCUCUCCACCUGUCUCCUCCCUUCAGCUGGUUCGCACUGACGUUCCUGAUAUAAUUGACAUGACAUCCAUGAUCCACAGUUCCAUACUGCCCAUUAAUUAUCUUUACAAUCUAAACCCCUACUUUUGUCCUCGGUAGUUUGUGCUACGUGGUAAAGAUGCUAAUCAUCAUAUUUCAUUAAACUGGCAUUCUGACAUUAAUGAUAUAAUUGCAUGUAUAUGCUUAUCUUCAUGUGCAGUUGCAGUAAUAGUUACUAAUCAUUAUGAUGCAGUAUUUUUUGUUCUUUCUAGUAGAUGUUAAAUGUAUCUUUUUUCAUUAUUGUGAUAUAGUUCAGGGCGACAGAUUCUACAUCUUACUACAAUUGCAAUCGUGACUUCAAGAUGAUUGAUAAAGCUGUAGACUGCAGAAGGGGAGCAGGAUCUGCUUGUAAUGCAUCUAAAGAACACAAGGAUCAUGGGUGUACCUUUGCCAAUGGAACAUCACAUUCACUAGGUACUGAUAAUAAGAUCUACUCCCGCAUAAUUUGUUAGUCAACCCUGCUCUCUAAGUUCCUUUCUUGCCAUCCUCUGAAAGUUCUCUUUUACUAGAAACGAAAAUUUACUACUGCUUCAGUUGAUUGUUUCUGCAAUUAUGUUGCACUAGAGCCUAAUAAGCAGCUUGUCUAAGUCCUAAGCCAGUGAUUUUUUCAUUGUUGGGAACAUUAUAGACUAUGAUUUGCUCCACACAUCUUUUGGUAUCUUUGCAUGUUGGUAUUUUUGACAACUUUCAUGUCCCAUCAUGAAGUAUUUGUGGCAGCCUGGUUUUGUUACAAGAGAAGCUGCUUAAUCAUGACAAUUUUAGCGUUGGAAUAUAGCAGUUGAUAAUCUUUUAGAACUAUAAGUGCUCAGAAUGGCCCAUGCUUGAUUCCAUUAUAGUGAAUUCCAAUGGUGAUAAAAUAAAUAUGAUGUAGGUUUGGAUGUGUUUUUAUUGUUCUGCUACUUGUUUUUUUUCCCUGGCAAACUGAAAUUGUUAGCGAAGUUCUGCAAUUUGUCAAAUUAUUACCGCAAUUCCCUAAUUGUAGAAGGAAUUGAACUACUUUUUAAUUUUCUUGGUUCUUUAUUGCUGUAUUUGCUUAUGUUUAUCUACAUAUGGAUCACUGUCAUUGUUGCCUGUUACAUCUUCUGUUGGUACUAAGUUAAUUGCAUGUAUAUAUACACUUUGCUCUGGCAGUUUGGGCCAGCUAUACAAAUCCUACUUUAAUCAUCUUUUCAUAACUAUGGCUGUCUUCUAAAAUGGAAGUUGCUCAUCAUUUCUCAUUACUACUAUUUCCCAGUAUUCUCCAAUCACCUUUCCGACCCUUUAGUCUAUUGAUUCCUCAUUGCAGAUGUCCAAAGGCCUGCACGUUAAAGUUGAGGCACAAUGAGAACAUUGCCAAAUAUAUUAAAAGAAUAUAUUCAAGUCUGCGAUGUGUGAAAUUUUACAUCCAAAAUGCAGUUGCAAGAAAGUGACUAGAAUAAAAUAUCAUGAAUUAAAAUCUACAUUACAAAGGCAACAAGGGUCGCUUUUAGGGAACUGCAUUAACAUAAAUUUUUCACCUUUUAGUGCCUUUGAGUUCUCAUGUUGCUUUAAAACCAGUUGAAACUUGUAGAAUUACUAUAAUUUAUGAAAGGAGUGGCGAUGGCAGUUUGGUUAGAUAAUAGGCUGUUUAGUAUGUUUUGGUGAGAUGUUUAAUAAAAUAUUUUCCUGUAGAUUAUAAAGUGUCUCUUCUUUAGUUUUUGUGCUACCAAGAUCCUUUGAAUUUUCAAAUGGGGAAUUUUGAUGUAUCUCUUACGGUUUCAGGUAACUUGGGCACUGAUCUGUGCAAACACACCAAGGAAGAUUCAGAGGAAGGAAAUAUAAGAUAUCUUGCAAGAGCACUAGUCGCAUUUUUGGUUAAACUGCUACCCUUCUUUCGUUUCUUUGGUUGUAGACAAGAAAGGAGGUUGGAGAACAUUCAUCCAUCAGAUGCAUUGGUCCUUACUCCAGAUAACCAUCCGAGUGUGGAAGCUGUCAAGGAAGACCAUGUCAGUCCUUGUUUAGAACGCCUUCAGAGGCUCGAGUUGAUGUGCAAUGAACUCAGUAGCAAGCCUGCAGAGAUUCCACAGGAAAAAGACCGUGCACUCCUUGAUUCUUGGGACAGGAUAAAGUCCAUUGAGUUUGACCUUGGGAAGACGAAGAAGGUAAUCUUUUAUUGUAUAUUUAAUGGUUUUUUGUGUUCUAAGGUGAGUCAAACAGCAUGCAGUAAGUUAGAAAGAGUAUCAUAUUAAAGUUCAGCUAUAUCAUAAAAGGAAGCACUUAAUAUUUUGAGUGUGGUUCCUGAUCUGGAUUAACAACAACGGCAAUAUUUGAUGCUUUUAAUGAAUAUUCGUGCUGGAGCAUCACUAUUCCAUCAAAGCUUCACUUCAGAAAGUUAGCUUUUAUCUAACUUGGACACUGUUAUCAUUACUGGGGAUGCAUCUCCAUGAUGUUGAGUGGCAUCAUUUUUCUCCCCUAUUUUUUUUUUGUUUGUAUUACUUCUUCAGGAAAUUUGUAUACUAUAAGCAAUUGGCCCAAAAAAGAUCCAGAGUUGUAUAUAUGUGUAACAUAUUUAUGUAUAAUUAAGAAAUUUUAUCCCAUUUAUAUCGUUUUAUUGUUCAUUUUUCUUAUAUAUUUUCUCUGAGAUAAUGCUUUUUGAUAGAUUGUGAUCACAUGUUCUUUUAGGUAUUGCAGGCCACAGUGGUGAAGCAAAUGGAGAUUGCAGAAAUGUUAGAAGCUGUACAGGAGUCCAAUCUCAGGGUAUGCUGAAAAAACCAUUUACCAUCAAACUGUUGAGUUCAUCCACAUCUUUGUGAACAACCUAACUAUAGAUUUUUUUAAAAGAAACCUUUGGUUUGUCUCACUUCUUUUGACUAAAUUAAAGCUAAACCUAAAACGAGCAUUGAAUACAUGAUGUCUCUGAUUGUGUAGAUCUUGGAGAAAUAUUUUGUUACCUUAGGAUUUUUAAUAUACCAUUGAUCCUGAUUCUCAUGAACUGGGUCAUAUUUGCCACACUUCAAAUUCUACGUUUCUAAAUAUGUCAGGUACUUAAGACACUUCAAAUCUUUUAAUGAUUGCACCAUCAUCCUGUGCUAGCGCUUAGCUUGCCUAGUUUAUUUUAUCAAAUUAUGGAGACGUUGGUUUAAAUCAUAUCUACAAAUUUUCACUAGUAUAGGUCUCCAAAAGUCAGAGAGACCAGAUUGAUAAUACUCAUCUCUUUAUUUUGUUUAUUACUGAGUCUAUGUUUCCGUUUAUCUUGUCUGCUACUGUUGUCAAAUUGCAAUCAUGGUCUGCACCAUUUUGGAUCUAACUGGUACAUCUUGCUUGCAUCGUUGUUUGCAGAGAAGGAAGUUUUGUUAAAACCUAAAGAGAGAGUGGCUGUACAUGGUUGAGAAGCGUAGCUUUGGCGUCAGAUUAGCAUUGAAAGAAUACUUCCUGCUAUACAGUUUUCUUUCUUUCUUUCUUUCUUUCUUUUGGUCCGUGAUGAGAUUUGUCACGUUUACGAACUGUUAUGAGCGUGCUACAUGCAGCAUCAUGGAAAAGCCGAGAUGGUGGAUGAGGGAAAAAGGAAAAACAAAAAGGAAAGUUAAUAUAUAGUUUUUCUUUGUUUUGUUAUGAAAUGGCGUCUCUCGCUCUACCUCUAAACCUGAGCCCUUGUCCACCAGUUCUAGUGUGGCUUCAUGGGUUGUUAGGGAUCUAGUUUUGGAGUUUGCUCCACCAUCCAGAUAUUUGUCCUUUGAGCGGCCUCAUCGAAUUUUAUCAUUCUUAAAGGUUUAUGAGGCUUUAAGCUGCUGCACAGGAGAUGACGCCAAAGCAUCUGGAGCCUGGGGCGGGCAUCAUUUGAACGGGAAUAAAAGAAGUCUGUCUCAAGUGGGACCAAAUUCGAUCAUGGUCGUUCACUAUUUUGUUAAUAAUUCCAUCUCAUCAAUUGCAGAAGAAAACAUUCGGACUGCAUCACAUAAAAACCAAGGUACCUACCUUGGGAUCUAUAUGUUUUGGAGAAUGGAUAAAUAGAGUAGUUCCUUUUUUUUUUUUAAAUUGACUCGGAGAGGACAAGUAUUUAGCUGGAUCCUAAGGAAGGUGUAACGGGAGUGAAUUAUUGAUUACUUGCAAGGAUUAUCUGCAUUGCAAUCUUGAUUUUGGUUGGAUCAAAAUGACAAUCUUAUAAAUUGCAACCAUGACUGAUGGAUGUCCACCGUUCCGAUCUAAUUAAAGAUUUCUAAUUAUUUGUCAACCUAUAUACUCAUGCUGCUUGCUGCGUGUCUUGCUGCUCUUAGAAGGGCGUUAUAAAUCGAAGGCAGUAUUUACCAAGAGGGUGAUGGAUUAAGAUGGAGCAUGUAUAGUGGUGGCAGGUGGAUGAAGGUGGUAGAUGAAGUCAUGAAGAGCCCUCAUUAUAUUACUGCCUGGCUAACCAGCAGCUUGGCCUGCAGAAGUCCCUAUUGCUCGACAAUUUGGUGUUAAUUGAGUUGCCUCUACCCUAACCUUAGCGCCCUUGAUUUUAGAGUUACGAAUACGCAAACAGAUAAUUUCCGCCAACACAACUGGCACUACCAGGUGACAUAUCUAGGCUGUCCUGCUGACAUACAUGGAUGGUUCACGUCCCUCGAAGAACACUUGAAAACCGUAUGUGAGACUAUACUUAAAAAAGUCAAAUUCAUGAAGUCAUAUUUGAAAAGGUUGGGGCUUAAUGUUUAUAUACCUUUUGGAAAUUUUGUUGUAUUUUCUUUCACCAUCCAAACAGCUGAAAAUUCAAUUUGAAAUAUUUUAUAUUCUUUGGGUCCUUCUCCAAGCAAUCGGAGAGACUGAAGUUACAGCGGACCAAAAAGAUUCUAGUUACAGCAUCAAUCGAAUAUUUUGUGCGCUUGAAUUGGUCACACUCAUCCCGAGUAAUGGAAAUGAGUGAUGAGAGUUCUGGGCUCCUCCCCCGAUGCCUGGUCAGGCCGUCGUUGGCAUGAAGGCGAUUGUCUCCGAAAGCUGUGAUGUGAUCUGGAGAUCAUGUAUAAUCCACUUCGAUUGGGCCCUUGCUCAAGAAUAGUGCAGCCACAAAGCCCAAGGAUUAUCGGCCCAUUAGCCUCGGUAACACGCUAUAUAAAUUAGUGACAAAAUUUUGGUGAAUAGGAUGAAACGCCUUAUGCCUUCUUCAGCAUCAGAGGAAUAAGGUGCUUUUGUGUUUGGCAGAAAUAUUUCAUAGAAUGUGUUCGUGGCUUGGAAACUAUGCAUUCCUGAUUUUAUGCUCCAAAAACCAAAGCCUUUAUGGUAAUAUCUGCACCAGCAAUAUUGUCUAUUUUUUUUCCUACAACUUUUAGGUCGCAUGUUCUUCCUUCACUUCGGCCUCCAUAGUUAUCCUAAUCUCCUUCUGUUAAAUUUGAAUCCAAUGGGGGUUCGAGGAUGUCUCUUGUCUCCUUUAUCUUUUAAAGGAACUUGUUAGCACUGGAUCGCUCAAAGGGUAUUAGCUGACUGCCAAUUGGUCCUGUAUCUUCGCACCUGCUUUUUUUUUGUUUUGCAGACGGCUGCUACUUUGUUGCUAAUGAAAGGAAUUGUUAGAUUUUAAAAAAGAUCAUGAUGGAUUACUGUUCACAGUCUGGUUUGGCGUCAACUAAAUAAAUCUCAUGUCCAGUUUAGUCGCACAUCACGUUUUGAUUUGCAGCAUUUAUUAGUUCCGAUCUGGGGAUUCAGGUUAAAUCUGUUGUUUGAAGUAUUAGGGUAUCCCCAUAUCUAGAUCUAAACCUAACAGACAGACUUAGCUCCAACAAAAUUGAACGCCAUACUAGAGGGUGGAAAAGGAAGGCAUUGUCCUUUGCUGGUAGAGGCAGUGAAAUUUGUGUGACCGUUCAAAAGGAAUGGGAUCCGAGGUCGUAACUCCAGACUCUUUGUAGUUAGGACGUCAAAUAUUCGACGUAACUGCCAUCGAAGCAUAGCUGAGAGCUGUAUGAAAGGGCAUCACCUAUGGGAGGCUAGUUCUGGGUGGAACAACGUUUUCCUUGAUGAGGACUUGACUGUGGUGAUCGAGUGGAUUCAAGGCCAGCACAAAUAUGAUAACGGACAACUGUUGCUUCAAAUAUACAUAGGCUAUAGAGAGGAUGUGGCUCCGUCCGGGCCAUUUAUGUCUAUUGGGAUGCAAAUGGUAUUGCUGACUGGGUUGCCUCCUAUGCUGUACAAUAUUCAGAAGGAAUCCUUUAGAAGAAUCACGAGUCUGUUCCAUUUUCUCUUCUUCAACUUCUUCUUUUUAAUCUUACUGGUUGUACUCAUGUACGAUCAAUGUGAGUCACCGUUGUGUCGGAAAAAAAAAAAAAAAAAGUCCAGAAAGCUAAUCAUACAUUCCUUCUGAUAUUGCUGAAGCCUUCAUUCGGAUACAUAUUCCUUUGAACUCUUAUCCAGCCAGAUUAUGUUGGGGAAAUGACAAAUCUAGUCAAACUUCCAAAAGUCUCUAAAUAUUUCUCUGACUGAGGUACUAACUAUCUAUUGAAUCCAAGGUCUUCUCUAAUAUUUGGAAGAGCAAGGUGGCACCUAGAGUCCGUUGUUUUUGCUGGCAACUCUGGUGGAAUCGAAUCCCAUGCAAGCAAAGCCUAGCUAGGAAAUGUCUGUCACACAAUGAACACAUCUAUUAUAAACUCUAUCUUGACCGGGUGGAGGAUGUCGAUCAUGUCGUUGUUCUCCGCCCUUUUGCAAGCUUUGUUCGAGCAUACUUUAUGGACCACCAACUUUGUUAACGUGUGUAACCUGUAAUAUUAAUAGAGUUGUUAUCGUACUCAAUAUCUGUUAUAUUUAAGCUUUUAUAUAUAUACCCUGUAUAUAUUAUUGUGUUCAAGCACUUUAUACAACAAUCAGAAUUAUGGAAAUUUUUCCUUCUACUUCUUCCCUUGUUUUAGCAAAACUCCGCAGCCACUUUUCAUUAGCAGAUGAUCCACUGAGUUUAAUAUCUAAUUCUCUGACAAAGGAUUCUUGCUCUACAGUGCUCUACGCUGGAUGGUCCAUGUGCAGUGGUAGGAAUGAAAGAGUUUUCCGAGGAAAAUUUUGCGUCUUAAAUAAAAUGUAAUCGUAUUGUUACCCUCCAACAAAUAUAUUUUCCUUAUAAAUUAUAUACAUCAUGUACUCUAUGUUAUACACCGCCUGUCUGUGAUGGAAUUGAAAUCCUCCGUAACACUCCAUACUCUUGUCAAUGAAUUCUUCUAAGGAAACCAUUAUCACAUUUACAUAUUGUCCAACGUUUUAGCAGUUGAUGGGAACAUGUUUGCAAAAGAAAUGAUGUUUAUCUAUUUAUCAGUGUAAUUUUCGAGGAACAUGCUAUUGUUGUCUAUCAAAAUCUCUCUUCUCUGGGAUCACUCAUGUGCAUCUUGUAUCUCAUGCAAAGAAUCCAAAAUGGUAUACAUACAUCUCGGAGAGAAACCUUGAUAUACCAAUCAAAAUUCAAUUUAACUUAUAAUCUUUAUAAUUUAUUAUUAUAUACAAAAUUAUAUAACUAUUUAAUUUUACUUUACUUUAAUUCAAUAAAUAAUUUUAUAAAAUUAAUAUAUAUAUAUAUAUAUUAAUUAUAUAAAUAAGUAAUUAAUUUUCUAUAAAUAGUUAGUUAAAAAUAAUGAAUAUAAAUAGAAAAAGAAAAAAUAUCUGAAUUUUGCCGGACAGAUAAUUUUGUUAACGUAGAUAUCCACUCCUUCAUUUUUUAAUAUAAAAUUUAAAAACAAUAAAUUAAUAUAUAGAUUAUUUUUUAUUAAUUUUUUAAAAUUUUAAAAUCAAACAAUUAGUAAAAAUUAUCCACCUUUUCGACUCAUCCGCCCUCCGAUGACGCCAACCACACACUGUUAGCGGCAUCGUGAAAAACUGGUUGACUCCGCUGGUCGACUCCCGCCAUUGGGGAGUUGGAAAAGCGGAGGCGGAGGCCGUGUCGGCUUGACUCCGUCGCGCAAGCGGGUCUACGGUUAGUGGUAUCCUGGAAUACUGGUUGACUCCGAUGAUUGACUCCGGCCAUUGGGAGUUGCAAAAGCGGAGGCGGAGGAUAUGUCGGCUUGACUCGGUUGCGCGAGCGGGUGUUCGCGCUCUCCUCUCUUCUCUUCUCCAUUUUCUUCGCUUGAACAAACCCCAAUUACUCUCUCUCUCUCUCGAUUCUCCGUGGAUUUCGAGUUCUAUCGGGAGAUCGUAGGAGGCGGGGAAACGUCGAAAGAUGUCGUUUGCCUUUUUGGGCGGAGAGAUGGAUUUGUGUCGAAGCGUCUCCUUGCGGGCGGUUCUGUUUAUGUUGUUGGUGGGACUGGCCACUGCUUCUACCUUCAUCUCAGGUACCGAUGCGUUUAAUUUCAAAUUUUUUUGAUUUUUUUUUUUUGAGUUUGCGAGCUGAUUCUUUGUUUUUUUUUAAAAAAAAAUCGUGGUAAUGAUAGAUGCUGUGUUCCAAUAUCAUGGAUCUACGGGCCGGAGUUUGCUGCAGACGAAAUCGAGUAAGAUCAAGUCACAUCGCUCUAUGAUCUGAUUCAAGAUUUUGUUUUUUAUUCCUGAUAUUUUGCUGAUUUAUGGUAUAAAAAUUUGAACUUGGGCGCCAUGGCCGCUGGAAUCACCUGUUUGAACUCAGAAUCAUGCUUUAGAGGGCUUAUUAGAUUUUUUGUCUUGAAGAACUGAUCUUCUUUUUCCCUGUAUCUAUGAGCUAGUUUAAGCUGGCUUGAGGAUAGAUAUUAGAGUGAACUGAGAGAAUUGGAGGAAAGAAAGGUGCAAUUUUCUUACAACAUUGGAAUUUCAAUGGUGAAAAUAUAUAUUAUCCAACCACUCACUGGGAGACAAAUUGAACUCAAGAGAAGGUAAACAAGAUACAGUGAGUCAUUUAACUGAAAAGGAGAUUGGAGCAUCCAACGACGAUGUGAGAUUCUUGUCUGGAAGCAUGACUGAUAGCCAUAUUUUACCAAGAACUGCAUGUCACCCACAGUUUAAGGUGGCAUGUGAGAUGAGAGCCAAGGAGGGAGUGGACGCACAGUUCAAGUUAGUUUAACAUCAUAAUCCAUAAUUUAGCAGCCUAUGUAGUUCUCUCGCAGAGUUGUAGUUCAAAGUGGCGCAGCCUUCGAGUAAAGGGGAGGAGCGAGUGCAAUUACUUGUUUUGCAAUUUUUGUUGAGUAGUUCAAUGGAGCACCAGGGUUGGAGAUUGAGAUAUUCACGGUAGUCUUUUUCGAAACUAUGACUUAAUUUGGCAUACUGCCUAAUUGGUAGGCAGGUUGUUGAGAUAUCAUGCCAGAACCAGUAGAAACGUAAGACACGGCCUUUUGUUUCGGGUUUUGCUGAAUCACUAAAUAGAUUCUAGUUCUGAAAAGGUGAUGACCGAGUGUCAAAAGAAUCUCCACAUGGAGCUUUUGAUCAAGAUAGAUAUGUUAAAGAGUGCAAUUUGCCAUGAACAUCAUUUAAUCCUUUAGUUUCAUCUUUGACCAGACACUACUAAUUGAAUACAACUUUGUCUUCCACAUUGUGAGAUCAGAGAUUGCAAGUGUAUUCAAUUUCGGAGUCUUCAUCCCCAGCUAUUAGUUCAUAUAUGACAAAUCUAAUUAUCCAGGUGGCUUUAUUUUGUCCAUGAAUACAUGUGCUUUGGUUUUACAUAUAUGCGUCCUUAAUGGUACCAUAUGAUGCAAAUGCCCAAUCUCUCAAUUUUGACUUGUUUUCAUGUCAAAUAGUUGUAGAGUGGUUUUUAUAAUAUCUAAGAUCACAUUUUGACAUGUAGUAUGUAUUAUUAAUCAGAAAAUCACUUUCUGUAUCAUACAUAAACCAGACAUGAGUGUGAGAGUUGGUUUGGCAAUAAGUGCUUAUCAACUUUGUUAAGAAAAAAAAAGAGUACUCAUUGUCCUGACAAUUCUUUUAUGCUUAUAGGCAUCAUUAUCAAUUACUGUUAUAAGUACCGUCUGCCACAGUUUACUCAUAUCGCCGCAAACUUGAUCAAUUAAUGACCCAAAAACUUGAGAAUCCAAGAGUUCAUUGAAAAAUCUUAUCUAAGAACUCUGAUUAGUUUAGAAACUUUUCUUUUCAAUUAUUCACUCCAUCUCGAUCAUGUUGGUCCCAAAUAGUUUUCCUAUGUUUAUAUGUCAAUAUGUAUGUAAGAUUACAUAUGUUACUCAAAAUAUUUGUAAUAGAAAUACACACUGGUAAUAUUUUGUUUCGUAAGGCUAACUGAAUGUUCCGGUGAGUUUCACCAUUUUCGGGCAUGAUUAUGCAAUUUCAGGGACAUCAGAGAAUCGACACUUGCAGUUAUGCAAUGACACUUGGAUGAUGCAAUCAAAUAAGUUUUGAUAAAUAAAGUAUGUGUGUUAAGCCAUGCAAUUUGCACAGAAAUAUGAUUGCCUCAAACACAAAUUCAGACGCACCUGCAAAUCCAGAAAACUACAUGACAAUGACAAGAUAGACAGCAUUCUUCAUAAUUUCUAAGUAAAACUUUGCAGAACUAUUGAGUGAGUCGCUAAUCUUAUUAGAAGAUCGUUGUCUGAUGAUGAUAAUGGUUGCUUUUCCCAUGCUGCUACAAUUAUCACCACUAAAAAAUACAGAUGAACAUAGUGAAUGGAAGAUAUCUAUCCUCAAAAAUGAACUGCAACUAUGGAAACUCCUCAUUUAUCUUGGACCAUUUAGCUUUAUAACUAAUACUAAAUCUAAUGUCUUUUGAUAUCCCUGUCAGACUGCCCUGUGAACUUCGAGUUCCAGAAUUACACAGUCGUCACGAGCAAGUGCAAGGGGCCCCAUUAUGCUGUUAACCUCUGCUGUGCUGCUUUCAAGGAAUUUGCAUGCCCAUUUGCUGAGCAAUUGAAUGAUGUCAGCAACAAUUGUGCAUCAGAUCUGUUCUCUUAUCUUAAUGUCCAUGGCAAGUACCCGCCAGGUCUGUUUGCCAGUGAAUGCCACGACACCAAGGAAGGGCUUACAUGUCCUCCUAGCCCUUCAAAGACACCGGAUGACAUUGCAAAUGCUGGUGACAUAAAUCGAAUCCUCACCUUUCUAAUUGUCUUCAUGUCUGGAGUGGUUCUGGCACUCCUAUUCUCUUGAAGUUGGAAGACUUUAUGUUUCUGGGAGCUGCAUUGCUGCAGUCUGUUAUUCGAAUGGAUGAUCUGUGUUAGGAGUUAAGGCGAAUUACUUCGGUGAUGAUGUCGAACAUUUGGUUGUGGGGAGUAUGCGCUAUUUUUCUUUACACAAACUUAUGUAGGUCUGCUAUAGUGUAGUUCUUAAGUUUUUUUUUUUUUGUUACUAUGAGAAGCAAUUAAUCUGCUCCUCAUUCUUAGCAUUUCAGACACCUUAAAAUUGCAAUCUGGCUGGUAAAUGGUGGUCCCAUUUGGAGAAAAGAAAGCUUUGAAUUUGAGUCUUGCAUGGGUUGAGUUUUGUAAGUUUACAGAGACCCACACGGGUGAUCACAAAGUCAUAAUCAUCUCUGUAUUCUGGAAGACUUGCAGACUUUGUAUGAUACGUGAUGCAAUAUGGGCACUGCUUUAAUGGUAAUAAAGCGUAGACUGACUUCUUUGUUUGUUUCAGCAUUUUAAUAUAUGUUUCUCAAACUAUGAGCAUUUUUGUAAUUAGAGUUUAUGAUUUUUUUGAACUCUUAAGUAACAAAAAAGAUCAUGGACAACAUUGAUCAUGGAAAUUAAUGUAUAUGAAAAACAAAAAUAACUAUGCACCCCUUUAAUUUUGAGCCAUAUUUUGUUUCACUUUUAUAUUAUUCUUAAUUAAUAUUCUUCUUUUUUAAUUUUGAUAUAAAGAACAUGGCGAAAAACCAGUCGACAAUUUUUUUAGUGAAACCUUUUCAGUUGUCAUUCGUAUGGGGAUCCUCAUUAAGAAGAAGAAGAAGAAAACUACUUAAUUAGUGCUUGCAGAUUUCGGGAGGAAUCGCUUGCACAAUUUUAUGUGUGCCCAGUCCCAUCACUAAUCUUCUUUUUAGGCUUUUCUUUUCGACGUAAAUUUAGUAACUGUAAGAUAUAUUUUUUACAAAUUAGACUCCAUGCAGGAUUAAUUGUAGAAAGACUAUGCAAUGAUGGUGCAACAUCAUUUCUGAUUCACAUAUGGAGUAAAAUAUGGAAUAGUUUUUGCAAGAAAAUUGACUACUUUUUUUCUCUCCCACCAAACAAGUAAUUUGAUAGUUUGGUUCAAAGCUUUGCAAGUAAAUGACUAACAUAUCGUUUUGAUCAAAGUUCUUAUUUAUGCAUUUAGCCAUUGUGUUUGAAUGAUCAAGCCAAUCGUAUAUAAUGAAUGCUAUGCUCUUUUAAUUGAAUAGCACGAUUAAUAUCACAACUCAAGUUAAUGGAAGGGUGGUAGCGAGUUUUGUCUUCUGUAGACUCAAGUAACACAUCUGUGUAUUCAUGGUAAACUAAUUUAUUAUAAUAAUAUAUGAAGCCUGAAUGGAGCGUCAAAAAUGAAAUCGAGCCAUCCGCUUGUUUGACAUUCCCAAGAAUAAGAAGCACUACUAAUUUAUAGCAUUACUUUUUUUUUUGUGAAAAGAAAGGAGGGGGGAGAGGAAACCUCACCGGUGUAGCAGCCCUCACUGGGCCCUCCUUCUACUAGGAAAUGUUCGAUGCAGGCCACAAGUUCCACGUACCCUCCCCAACCCAUGGGUUCCCUCCUGUAGGUUCCUCACCCACGGGUGAGUGCAUCAUCCAGCGCCACCUCGGUACCAGUAGACCAGUAGCGCUUCCAUCGAAAGAAUCCAGACGUGGGACAUCUGGUUCUCAAAUUUAAUCGACGCCCACGUGUUUCGAACCUGGGCCACCCCAGCGCCACUUCAAUACCAGCGGACCAGUAGCAUUACUUUUCAAGAACAAAUUGGGGAAACAAACACGAUCCUCAGCAAGAUGCUAUUGAACAGUGCUAACUUUAUACCCUUCUAGGUCUUCAAAUGCAUGCAACUCCAACAGUCCUAUCAAAUAAACCAUACUAUUCCAAGAGUUUGUUUAUUCCUUUGCAGAUUGAUCAGCACUACAGAUUAAACUGUGAGAGAGGCCAGCAUAAUUACAGGCUCUAUAAGUUAGCUUUGAUUUGGGAUCUAUGCAGGCGGAUGAAUGAUGGAGUUCGGAUUAUUUUGAAAUCUGUAUGAUGGAUGAUUCAGUAAUGGAUUCGUGCAAAAAAAAAAGUGAAUCCUUUUUUCCCGUCGAAGAUACAGCCCGAUUCCAUCGCAUCCAUGUCUUCAGCUCCUUCGCACACCACCACUCUUGUGCGCACCCACAUUUCCUCCUCCAUCCACUUGCGAGUAAAAUUAAGUUACGAGACUCCCAUCAACCCAAAAUGCAUUUCUCAUUCACUCCAUGUCUCCAACUCCUUCGCACACCACCACUCCUCUGCGCACCUUCCUCUCCUCCAUCCACCUGCGAGUGAAAUUGAGUUACGAGGCUCCUAUCAACCCAAAAUGCAUUUCUUACUAAGUUGUAUGUUUGAAUUUUCAUAAAAUCUUAUUUCUUUGAGAUGCAUAUUUUCGCCAGCAUCAUGCACUAAGGUAAUAUAAUAUUAUAUUUAAAUAGUUUUUCCUCUUUCCUUUUUUUUUUUUUUUGUUACAUACUAACUCUACAAAAUCAUACCAAUCCAUUCAACUUGUUUCCCGACAUAGCUAAACUUGUCACAACUAAAGACUUCACCCAAAAAGGCUAGCCGAAAAAUAUAUUUUUGGGUUUCUUAAUUGUACCUAAGAUUUUCUCGAUGAAUAAUCGAUGUGAGACUAAAUAUAUUUCUACACGGAUUCUUGCAUACUCCUCCUAUUUAAACUCCGACGUCUUCGUUAGCCUAAAAGUAUAAAUUCAUUCAAAUCUAAUCACAAGCAUCACGAUCGUCCGCGGUCAGUCUCAAUAAGCUCGUGCUACAGUAUUUUUUAGCCCUACAUGGGCUAUGGGUUGCUCCACUCUGAUACCAUUUGUCACAACCUAAGAUUUGAUCUAAAAAAUCUAGCUAAAAAUAUAUAUUUGGAUUAUUUAGUUCUGUAUAAAUAUCUAAAAUUUUUUUGGUAAAUAAUCAAAAAAUAAACAUUUGUCAAUGAAAUUUCAAUCAAAAUCUCUCUCUGCGUGCGUGCGUGCGUCUUGGGGUAGAGGCAAGGACAAAAUGACCACCGGUUCACAGCCAAAUUCAGCUAAGACGUAACAUCCAGCAAGGCAACAGUACGGUAGGUUUGGCAAGGUUUCGGUCCAACCAUAUAGCCAAUUCGUCACUCUAUAUAGCUGCAGUUGAUCAAGUUUCGUCAACUUGUAGCUGUAAUAAAGCACGAAAAGGAGGGGAAAAAGAAUCAGGAUAGAACUUCCAGAACAAUUAAUCCAAGAUUUAUAGAGUCUUUUACUUGUGUUGAACAAAUAAAACCAGAUUCAAGGGGAGCAGAGACAAAGCUUUGUCUGAGAAAUAUGAAGUGCUCUCAUUAGUUGAAUGGUCCCAAGAUGACUUGCAAUGCUUAUCUAUCGCCUACCACCCCUAGUAUAAGUUCACACCUCAUAUGUCAUACGAUCAGCUCGAGAUGAUUUAUAGGAAAUGCCUUUGUUGCCAAGGUAUUUUUUUUUUUUUUUUUUGCUUUUUUUUUGCUUAGGCGAUAGGGAAGGGGGGAGGAAGGGGGGAGCCCACCCCCACGUAGUAGCCCCCACCGGGCCUCCACCCCAUCAGGAGAAUGUUCGAUGCAGGCAGAACUGACCGUGUGUUGGGCACGCCAGCCGUUUUUACUCAUAUCCUCCCCACCCGUGGGCCCGGCCCGGUUACUCUUAUGGGCUCCAGCAUGAAUCCUCCGUAUGAAUACGUCACAUCCGGCACCACCGAGGCUAUCAACAGACUAAUAAGCUCUCCCAUCCUACGUGUCCAAACAGGAAGCAUUCGAUCUCCUCAUUUAAUCGACGUCCGCGCAUUUCGAACUCAGACUGCGAGGAUGAAAGUAAAGGCCCAGUUCUAUUGAGCUACCACCUCAGUGGCAAGGAUAUUUCUUUGGCCUUACCAAAAUAGCCUUGCUACUCCAUUGAUUUAUGAUCCAUAUAUUUCCCUCAAAUUAUCAUUUCGCUAAACCUCCAAUUGGCCAUAUAAUAAUCUAUCACUGAAAUAUAGGUUUUGAUGUGGGCCGAUUUUAUGCAUGACUAGAUCUUGCUAUUUCUUUAUAAAAAUUAUUAUAUAUAUAUAUAUAUAUUGUCUUUAAUUGCAUGUCUGCUAAAAUUUUAGAAAUUAAUUGAUAAUUGGCAACCUGUAAUUGAAGGGUUUUAAGUUUUAUUCAUUAGAAUCUCAUAGUUCGAAAUAAGCACAGUAAAAAAAAAGAAUGGCAUCAUGCAUCCAAAUCUUGUCAUAUCUAUGCAAAACAAUAAUAACAAUUAUGAUUAUUUGUUUGCUUUAAAAGGAAAUGUUGGCAUGGUUCCAUCAUUUUAGUAUUAGCAUGUGACUAGAAAAAAGUAUAAAAGAAAGAAAAAAUAGUUUUAAGAUAUUGCAUUGCUUAAUGCAAAAGUUUUAACUAAAGUGUAACAACUGAAUUCAAUUAAUUUGGUCUUUUUCUAGACACAACUUAAUUUUAUCUUGUGGUUAUAAAAUUAAAUCUAUUUCUUUCACAAAAUUAGAAACAAUAUUUUGAACUCCGUAAAUCGUAUAUUUAACCUAAAAAUUUGAAUUUUUAUAGUUCUUUAUUAUGAAUUUUACUCUAUUGGCAUACAACUAAACUAAAUAAUUAUAAUCCAUGAAAACUCAGAACACUCAAUAAUACAAACAUAUUCCCUCUCCGAACUUUGUGAGCUUAGCAUCAAAUCAUUAGCUAAAUGUUAGCUUUAUUCUAUUUUGAUCAUAAGUAGCCAAUACAAUAUACUUGUGACCAGUGAAGAUAGUACUUUGCUGCGGCCUCAAAUAAUGCCCUCCCCCAAACACAGUAAAUUAAUUAGAUUCCUCCAAGAUAUUUUAAAUUAAUGACACAUGAUUUUAUUAUUUUUUAAGAAAAUAAUUUUAUACUUUCAAAUCUGGCUUGUAUUUUGAUCUUCGAUUAGAUAGGCAUAAAAUUUGAUCUCAGAUUCUUUAUAAGGUAAAAAAUUCAUCGCAAAUAAUUCUAAAUUUUAUAAUUCUUAUAAAGCAUACACGUUUUAAAAAUUCAGGAUUCCGUUUAAGAAAAAUGGACAUCAUCAACGGGAUGCACGUGGCGGCAAGAUGAAAUCAAUUUGGUCCUUCAGGCAAAAUACCUAACCCGGCCAUAAUUUACACAGAAGGGUGGUAUUUUCGUAAUUCCGCAUAAAAGAGAGAGGCAUUAUCGCGAACAGCCCAGUAUUUCUAUCCAUAACCUAUGGGUGGUUCUAUAUACACCCCCCCUAUUGCUCAGGACACCCCCCAAAUUAAAAAAUUAAUACUNNNNNNNNNNNNNNNNNNNNNNNNNNNNNNNNNNNNNNNNNNNNNNNNNNNNNNNNNNNNNNNNNNNNNNNNNNNNNNNNNNNNNNNNNNNNNNNNNNNNNNNNNNNNNNNNNNNNNNNNNNNNNNNNNNNNNNNNNNNNNNNNNNNNNNNNNNNNNNNNNNNNNNNNNNNNNNNNNNNNNNNNNNNNNNNNNNNNNNNNNNNNNNNNNNNNNNNNNNNNNNNNNNNNNNNNNNNNNNNNNNNNNNNNNNNNNNNNNNNNNNNNNNNNNNNNNNNNNNNNNNNNNNNNNNNNNNNNNNNNNNNNNNNNNNNNNNNNNNNNNNNNNNNNNNNNNNNNNNNNNNNNNNNNNNNNNNNNNNNNNNNNNNNNNNNNNNNNNNNNNNNNNNNNNNNNNNNNNNNNNNNNNNNNNNNNNNNNNNNNNNNNNNNNNNNNNNNNNNNNNNNNNNNNNNNNNNNNNNNNNNNNNNNNNNNNNNNNNNNNNNNNNNNNNNNNNNNNNNNNNNNNNNNNNNNNNNNNNNNNNNNNNNNNNNNNNNNNNNNNNNNNNNNNNNNNNNNNNNNNNNNNNNNNNNNNNNNNNNNNNNNNNNNNNNNNNNNNNNNNNNNNNNNNNNNNNNNNNNNNNNNNNNNNNNNNNNNNNNNNNNNNNNNNNNNNNNNNNNNNNNNNNNNNNNNNNNNNNNNNNNNNNNNNNNNNNNNNNNNNNNNNNNNNNNNNNNNNNNNNNNNNNNNNNNNNNNNNNNNNNNNNNNNNNNNNNNNNACCCAUAACCUAUCCCUUUUGAGCCGCUUCUGCGAGGGGGCAAGCCUUCGGAAAAGAUUUAAAAAAAAUAAAAGAAAAAAUAAAGAAAAAAACCCAACCCUUAAUCGGCGAUUAGCGGUUCUUUUUAUCUCCUAGAUUUCGUCUGAUUCCGGUUGGAAGGCUUUCGAUUUUUCGGAUUCCUGCCCCUAGAUGAUGCAGAUCCUCGCCUCCACCGAGAUCUGAAGGCUUUCCAACCCUGAAAACAGGUGCGAAACAAUAAAAAAAAAAAGACUUUUGUCUGGAAAUUUCUUUGACCUCAAUUGGUUUUGAUUUGGAUGUCUGUUGAUCUAUCUUUUUGCUUCGGGUCCAUGUUGGUGGUUUUUUUUAUUAUUAUUUAUAACUCUUAAAUUUACGGUCUUUUGUUUUCCAAGGAUGUUUUUUCUUGUUCCUUUGACUUCUUGCCGACUUUGAUUUUUGGUUAUUUUCUGAUAUUUUAUUUUUUAAAAGAGAAAAGGUUGGACUUGUUACUUCGGGGUUGCGGCAUAAUUUAGAGUUUAUAUCUUAUUUAGAUUUGGAAUUAUGGUAAAAAAAACCUCAUUUUGUUGGAAUCUCUAGGUGUCUUUAGUUACUUAUGGAUUUAUCAGAGCAAUCCGGGAUAAAGAUCUGAAAUUUAUGCAUAUAAGGUGUUGUUCCUUCUAAUUUCAUGAUACUGAAUUAUCGUUUCAGAGGUUGGCGAUUUACUUGUGAAAUAAAUAGGUGAAAAUUUAGUUUUUUUUUUCAAGUCUGUUUUUCUCCUCUGAAUGGUGUAUUAUGCAGCUUAUGUGUGCAUGUGUUUGGUUUCUAUCAUGGGGCUAAAGAUAUCAUUUUGUCUAGAUCGUUUCUCUCUGUGGCCUAGGUUUGGUUAGUAAAACAUAAAUGUAUUGCUCUUGGUUUUGUCUAUUUGGACUUUAUGUUGAUGUUAUAUUAUUAGUCUGAUGCUUGGGCGAUUUGCUGUUUGUCAAUCCAUUUGUGACAAGGGAAGGUGUUAAGAUAGUUGAACUAAUGAUCUGUCCAAGAUCAAGCAUUGGGGAAAAGUAUUUGUUAGGUGCCAGUUGUGCAACUUUCCAAUUUUUCAAAGUGAGAAAAUUCUAUGAUAAAUGUUAAUUAGCAUUUCAUGCAUAAAGCAUGUGCAUGAUCUUUCUGUUAAGUGUAUGAAUGAUGUAGAAUGCAUGCCAUUCUCUUUUGAUUCUAAUGUAAAUGUACACCAAUUUUGGCGAUUCCCUCACCGUAGGCAGAAUAACUGAGAAACAAUUGUAGUACAUGCCAAAAGGGCUUCCUUUGUCAGUUUUCAUUAUCAUUUCACAUCGAAGAAAGAAAGAUGAGUGUUGUUGAUCAUGAUGUCACAUGAAACCUUUCAUUUUUAAACAUGGUAGAUAAGAACCUAUUAGGUAGAACAUAAUAUUUUUUUUGUGCUUGGUAGAGAAUUCUUUUUGGUAUGUCUGGUAUUUCCUAUUGGAUUUUGUUUCUUAUAUUGCUGCUGUUUCACUUUUAACUUUAUGCAUAUCGGAGAGCACAUCUGAACUGCCCUUGCAACUGUUUGCCCCUAGCUGACCUUAACUUGUUUUGGAUGCACAGGCAUAAAUUUUUUAAGUCAAAUAUGUCUCGGUACCAAGGUGAUGAUGUUGAUGAAAUGGCAGAGGAUUAUGAAAUGGGGGAUGCAGAGGAUGACAUGGAUGAAGAAUUUCAAGGAAGAGGGUUGUGGGAUUCAGAUUCUGAUGAUGAAGAAUAUGGUCAAUCUGUACGCAUUUCCUUAUACUAACAUGUUUUUCAUCAAACUACCGGAAUUACUGUCUUUUUUUUAAUGUUUUAGGUGACAUGCCGCUAUGCUUUUCAUUGGUACAGGAUUUAUAAUUCUCGAACAACUUUCUCAUUUCUCGUUUCUGUUAUCUGUACUUGUUAAUGUAUCAUGCUCUCAAUACACUAAAAGAAAGAUAUCUUAUUUUAUCCAGCAUAGUAAGGUAACUGACAUUUCAUCAGCACAAGCAAGGAAAGGAGUGGAUAUCCAAGGAAUACCUUGGAAUAGGUCAAGCAUUACAAGGGAGAAGUACAGACAAACCACAUUAGAACAAUACAAGAAUUAUGAAAACAUUCCAAAUUCCGGUGAAGCAUCAGAAAAUGUACAAUAGCUACACAAGUCUGGGUUAGUUACAUCACUCGCUCGUUACAUUUUUUUGAACAUCCUUUUUGUGUACCCAGGUUUGCAAACCAACUGAGAAAGGAGGAAUGUAUUAUGAUUUCCAACAUAAUACAAGAUCAGUGAAAUCAACUAUCCAUCAUUUUCAGGUAAGCAAAUAAAGUUCCUAAAUAGGUUUAUACCUUAAGUCUUAUUCUUUAAUGACCUACAAUUUGUUUGUUCAUUCCUUGCUGCAAUAUCUUAUUUUAUGUACUGCGGUGCUAUUUUGUAUUGUUUUAAGAUGUUUUCAUAUCUUUUAAUCAUGGUUUCUAUUUUGUAUGAAGGCUUGAAUUAGUCAAUGUCAACGAUUUGUUGAGAUAAUGAUAACUUAGCUCAAAGUAGAAUUUGGACAGCCAUCUGAUCCUUGGUUUGAGAAACAAAAUUUACUAAAAUUCCAAAGGUAGAAAUGUAGGGUGAGAUGAGUCUUAGACAGGUAGAGGAGGUGAAGUUUUCUGGUUAUUGAAAUUUAUGUCUGGAGAAUAUGAUUGUGAAAGAUGCUUGAAAUGGAAAUCAAGACUCUGAAGACUUUUGGUGAACUCUUCGAAUUUGUUUUUAAAACUUGUUGAUUGUGAGAACCUUUUGGUUUUGGUUUGCUUCAAGUUAAUGAUUUUUUUUUGAUCAUCUUCAAUUUUUUGCUGAUCCUCUUUGGACAAAACUGCUUAGGACUCUCAGUAGGUUUUGCUGAUCAUCAGACAUUAAAAUUUCGUGCAUAAAACUUAGAAGUUCAUCCCAAAAGCAUAGGGAUCCUAUUCUUUAAUUAGGUCGAAGGUUUUUUCACCUUCUGAGCUUGUCAGCAGCAAACCUACUAGCCUUCAGCUAGUUGCUAGUGUUUCAAUUAAAUGAGCAAAUCAGUCCGCCUUAUUCGAGUGUGGAUGUUUUAAUUUAGAGCAUCCCCAUAUAUUAUACGGCAAAAUCCUUGUGGAGGCUUGCGGAUGUGUUGAUUCCCAUCAUCCCAUGGUUGUCGAGCUUUACACCUUGUUGUUGGGCCCGAUUUAUGUAGCUAAUAAAAUUAGUAGUUUAAAAAUAAAAUGAGUUUUUCAUGUGCAACAUAUGUUAUGUUUAUACUUUAACAAUUAGGAGAGUGGCUAAUUAAUUCUUUUAACUAUUGAUGCUUGUUCAACUUAAUUAAAAUAAGAAGCUCAAGGCCACCUUCCCCCCAAAAUAACCUACCCUAGCAAAGCAAAAGAAAAAGAGGCUGGGGUCAAAGGAGAACUGCUUUUUGUUGGAGUCAGAAGGGGGGAGCGGCCAAGGUAGAUGGGCAAGGAGGCAAUUGAAGGCGGUAGAGGCAUGGGCACAGGUACGGGGGUGGCGAUGAAUGGGGAAGGGAUGUGAGAUGGAGGGCAUAGGUUGGGUGAUAAGGAUGAGGUGGCUCGAAACUCACCUCCACAUCUAAGAUCUCGUUGAGUGGCUAUGAGGAACGAGGGAGUGGAAGUUGGUGGUAUACAUGAUUGAAGACCUGUGGCCAGAGGCUGUGGAUAAUUGUGUUUAGGACAUCUUGUGGAGGGUAUGGGAGGGUGUGGAUGCUUUGUGAGCAGAAGUCCGGCAUUUAUGGGAGUUAUCCUGAAGUUUUAGCCGUUCUGACAGGCUUUUAUCUGAUAAAGAAGAAAUCCUAUGUUCUGUAUUAUUCAAACAGGCCCUUUUUCCGCACUCACUUAAGUGUCAAAGAUUUGUCUUCAUAGUGUGUUUGCCUGUUAUUAAGGAGAAAUAAGGAAGAUUAGAUCUCCCUCUAAUAAGUCAAAAUACCUUCCACAGUGCAAGCAAGGAAAUAUAAACAUUUUCAUCAUCCGGAUUUAGAUCUCAAGUUUCUUACUGGUCAAAGUUUGGACACUAGUGGUUAUAUUGCUCAUUUUUAUCUUUACAGCAGAUGGACUGAACUGCUGCAGGUAUUAACAUUUUGCAUAUGAUAUUAUUUGCAUUCCACAUCUAUUAAUCUUUGGCAGUUGAGAACAAUAAAGGGAACCUUGAGUAAAUUUCUGCACACAUGAACCUCAGUAGCUAGACUUCUAAUUAGGAUGGCAUCUUUGUUUCAGACCUGCUUCCACAUACCUGCAUCUGCUCCCGCUACCAGCAACUAAGACAUGAAUCCUGAAGAGCUGACUUGAGUAUUUUCAGUGUGUGCUGUGCUAUCAUCAGUAUUUUGGAAACAUUUUGAGGAAAGAGAGGGAAGCCAUAUUUUUUUGUAAUUGAAAACAUUUAAAAGAAAUUGCUCAACUACAUUUUCGUACAUAACCCUACACAUGCUGACAUAAGCAAUCGCACUGUCUGUUGUAUCACCACUUCUAGUCAGGGGACAUAUUGAGAAUAGAGGGAAAAAUGUUUGCAGCUUUAUGUUUGAAUCGAAAUUUUAUUUUUGUACCUUUGGUGGUGGGAAUCUGCAGAUAUAGUGAACGUUCAAUUAUGUUAAAGGGUGAGGUGGCCCAUAUGCAAAUUCUAAACAUUUGGGAAAUGUUUGUGGUAACUGAACAUUUGAAGUCACUUGGAAAUGGCUUGUAGGCUCAAUUAAGCUUGAAUGAGAUGUGAACAAGCCAAGCUUGAUCUAAGCUUUUAAGCUUGGAAUAAAUUUCAGCCAAGCUUGAUCUCCACUUGAUUAGGCAUCGCUUGAUAAGGCUAUAAAAUUUAUAUUUAAGUGUUAUUUUACAGUAUAUGUGUAACAAUAUGUAUUUUAUAUAUAGAAAUUUCAAUGCAUAUUAUUAGUCAGCAACUGAAAUCAAUGCUGAAAUUAGUAUCUAUCUUAUUUAAACAAUUUGAUGGCUUCAUUAUAUUAUUAAUUUUUAUUCAUGGCCUGAUGGGUUCAAUAGUUAUAGGGUUUGAUAGCUUUCUGGUUUGCUGGAUCGUGUGUUUUAUUUGUCUAAACAAGACUUUGAAUUCGAAGCUCAAACAGAGCUUGAAUUGAGCUCAGUUCAAACUUGAUCUGACUCUGGUUUGAUUUAAGGCUAUUAAUUGAUUCAAAAUAGGUUUAUUUUCAGUUUGCCUUGACAUCAGGCUUUACCAAAUUGGAAGCAAGCACGUUUGGUCCUGAGUUUCAUGCUUGAAAUAAAUUUCAAGCCAAGCUCGAUCAGGACCAGAAUUGUUCUUGCUCAUCUUGACUACAACCAUGAUCAAGGAUAAGUACAUCGAAUGCCUAUUGUCUACCUUCUGUUGGUGACUGUUCUUUGAUUUCUGGACCUUAACGAUGUCAAGUUCUAUCUAGGUAUUUUAUAAAUUUAAGUGCCAUAUGAUUGUCCUGUUAUUUGUUUCUAGGUAGCUAAAAUAUAGCGCAAAGGAAUAUUCUGUGGACUUAUUAUGUUUAUAUGAGUACAUUUAUUUGAUAUUGAGUUUCUUUGAAAAAAGUGUGAUAUUAAUCUUCAUUUUUUUUUAACUUUUGCAGCUGAGAAAUCUGGUCUGGGCUACAUCAAAGCAUGAUGUCUAUCUAAUGUCACACUAUUCUGUGCUCCAUUGGUCAGCAUUAACUUGUGACAAAUUUGAGGUUAUGGAUGUUUCGGGACAUGUGGCACCAUGUGAGGUGCAUAUUCUUCCUUUAUAGAUUUGCCAUCUUCUUCUCUUUUUGAUUUAAAAUUGUGUGUUCUGUAAUAAUCAUUUUAUUAGGUGGAUAGUUAUAAUUUUAAGCUUGCAUGAUGCCUUUUUGAUUUCAUUACAGAAACACCCUGGAAGUUUAUUGGAAGGAUUUUCUCGGACUCAAGUUAGUACAUUGGCAGUAAAGGAUAAGUUACUUGUAGUGGGUGGAUUUCAAGGAGAACUUAUUUGUAAAGUAAUUCUCUUUACUUUGUCUGCCAUUGUCUUUUACAAUAAUUCGUAGAAACAAAGGAGACUUGUAUAAUAUCCAUGGCUAUUUUCAUUUUUUGUCUAUUUUUUUGUUGAUUUGUCAAGGUGGUUACUGUUUUUAGUAAAAGACACUUCGUUAUUUCCAGAAAGUAUGUCCAUGACUCCAUGAGAAACUUGCCAAUGAUAAAAACAAUGUAUCAUCGGUUUACCUUUUUCAUCAAUUAUUUUCAUAGGCAUAUCUGUGAGAAAUUUGCCGUGUAUUUCUUAUAGCUGUAGCAGAGUAGGUUAUGAAAUGUAUAGUUGUAUUCUUAGGCAUAUAGUAGUUAGCUUGACGGUGAUAAUGUAUGCUGCAACGAGAAAGAAGCCAAGAAGAAUGGCAAAAUGUAGUAUGAUAGAAAGCUAUCUCAAGGAGAAAGCAUUUAUCCAUGCUGUAGUGAUAUCGAGAAAUGCCGAUUCUUAUUAGGGUGUGGAGGUUAGGGAGUGCAGUGAGGUUUGUGGACCAUGUAUCCAGGCUUUCACGAUCCAUGCUCUGUAAGAGGAGAAGCCUUGAUAAGUAGAGAGGUGACUGUAUGCACUAGAAAAAUGCUUGAACUUCUGUUUUGAAGGAUUACAAAAGAGAAAGAAAAAGUCAUAAACUAUUGUGGAUGAAAACUAUGAGAAGGGUUUUGGAAGAGUCUGUAGUGUUUCUAGAGCUAGCCUAAUAAAAAUACUUGGUAAGGAUUCAGAAAGUCAACUCCAAAUAGGUGAGAUCAUACAAUGAUAUUUGAAGUUAUGAUUUUGGAUGUCAAGAGCCAUGGCGGUAGACUGUCUGAUUGCCCCAAAAGUGGGUAGUUACAAUGCUUAUAAUAGAGUAAGCUGAGAAUCACCAUUAUUCUCGUGGUACUUAUUUGGAUUAUCAGGUUUUCUGGUAUUAUAAUGGCUUAUUCUUUGCAUAAAAAUGGAUCUUCCUUGGGCUCUCCAUAUUAAAAGUGCUGAGGUAAGGAGAAUCUUUACGUUUAUUUGCAUUUGCUGGUUUCAAGUGUUUGUUUCAGCAUUAUUAAAUGCAUAAACAAAAGAAAAGAAAAUCCAUGGAGUUCAUAUUGGGGAAAACUACCUCUGUCCUUUUUUCUUGCAUUAUGAUUUUGAUCAAUAAAGAUAAUAUGUAGAAUUGACUAAUGUUAAGAAUUUUUUAUAACACAACCAAAAAAUUUUGUAAUUGCAUUAAGGCUGAAAAGGACUUAGUUCACACAGGGUUGGUGGAGCAUUAUGGGGCUUUCACUAUCGGGAGCAGGUACUGUUGUCUGCAGCCUUUGAACUCAUUUUGGAGAAUGAUGAAAGGGAACUUGAAGGUAGGAGAAGCAAGCAUUAUUGUUGACUAGUGCAGACUAUUUAAAGCAGUUAUUAGGUGAUAUGUGCGUUUUAUUUAUGUGCUCUUAUGUAACUCAUAGUUAGCUACAUUGAGAGGUGGUAAAUUCUUGUGGAUGAAAGGAUGGAAUGACAAGACUGUACGUGGUACGUUGGGAGCAGCUUAACAAGCCUGAUAAUCAAUCAGCUGAUUUGCUCAGCAAAUACUUCAAGCGCAUAAAAUGGAUGAACAUCUGGGCAGACAGAACGAUGAAUAAGAUCUAGAAUUUAUGGGAACAGAACAAUUGAUAAGGCAAGAAGUAUGACUUAAAAGAGGCCAUUGCCUCUAGCUGUAUGUGAGCAAUAUAGAUUUUCACAACCACUAUGCUAUCCUGGUGCUUGUAUUCACCUUUCUGAAAGGAUGAAAGUUACAUUUGUUUGCUAUAAACUAAAACAUUCUUUUGUUUGUUCUUUUUUGGCAUCUAUUAUUUUCUAUAUAUGUUUUGUGUUAGGAAAAUUAAUUCUUCCUUUAAAUCUUAUCUUUUAGUUAUAGGGCAUUAUUAUCUAUUGCAAAUGUGCUUCACAACAUCAUAGGCCAAUCAAUUAAAAGUUUUAGACAAUAAUGAAAUAUCAUUGUUUUAUGCACAUACGAUUUGUCAAAGGAUUUUAUAUCAUUACCUUUUCUGGCUCCUUGCCAAAAAGUCAUAAUUCCUUAAUUUCUGGUAUUGCCUGUCAUUUAAAAAGCUACAAAUUUAUUUCCAAUUGUAUGUGAUGGAUCAAGUCUUUUUUAGGAUUUAAUUAGUCAUCUCAAUCAGGUGAAACAUUUGUAUUUUAGACAUGAAACUUAUGGUGUUAGUAGUUAUAGAUGCAUUAAAUGCUAUUGCAGUGGAAUGUAUAUAUAAGUAACCUGGCUGUACAGUUCUUGUGACAUUGAAUGUAUAUUUAUUCCAGCAUUUUCAAUGGUACAUUUUAUCUGAUUUAUCCCAAUAUUUUAGAAGGUAAAUAUUAUCUGAUUUUUUUUUCUUACUUUGAUGGGAAAUGUAGUAUUUAGAUCGAGAAGGAAUAAGCUUUUGUUGCCGGACAACUUACGAUGACAAUGCAAUCACUAAUGCUGUGGAGAUUUACGACAGUCCCAGGUACUUGAUUUUGCCUGGCAUUUUCUUUUUUUUUGAUCAUUUCAGUGGCUGGUCUGGCUUGAAAAUGAAAUUUAUUCAGUGGUGCUGUUCACUUCAUGGCUUCAAAUAAUGACUGUGGAGUUCGUGACUUCAACAUGGAGAACUUUCAGCUUUGCAAGCAUUUCCGAUUCCAAUGGCCGGUUAAUGUAAGCCAUCAGUAUUUGAUUACGUGUAUUGGAUUGUUGGUUGGUUAGAUGUUAUUUCUUUUUCUAGUGGGAUGUGAAUGUAAGGCAUCUGUAAUUGAUUCAUUGUAGUGUCUAGUUGGUUAAAUUAUCAAUGCUGGUGAGAGAGCCAUAUAAUGUUUUGGUUUCUUGGAAAUUUGUCUGCCAAUAUUUGUUGUAAACAAAUUCAAUCUGUCGAGCUUUCUUGGGGUUAGUAGAAUCAGAUUAUAAAACUCUAGGUAACCGCUGAGAAGUGAAAACACUGUUCUAGCUAUGAUGCUGCUAUGGCUACAACAUUCAUGAGAUCUAGUCGGGUCUUGCUCUCUAUGGGUACUUGGAGUUUUUUGUAAUUUAAUAAUAUUUAUAUCAGGCACUAUAUUCUUGCAUCAUUGUUUCUUUACCUGUUAUUCUGUUUGCAGCAUGCAUCACUUAGCCCUGAUGGAAAGCUUCUUGUUAUUGUGGGAGACAACCCUAAGGGACUACUUGUUGAUGCUUGUACGGGAAAGGUGGGUAACAUAUUUGGUUGUUCUGAUCAAGUGAUGAACCACAAUGGAGUAACCUGCUUUCAUCAUUUCCAAUUUGAAAAGUUGAGCAAUAAAAAUUAAGUUUUUGUAGUUUGGUUCUUGCAGACUAUCCAUGCACUGCAUGGCCACCUGGACUACUCAUUUGCAUCGGCAUGGAAUCCUGACGGUUGUACAUUCGCCACUGGUAACCAGGAUAAGACCUGUCGGGUUUGGGAUGUAAGGAACCUCUCCAAAUCCAUGGCUGUACUGAGAGGCAACCUUGGAGCCAUAAGGUCAAUCCGCUUCACAUCCGAUGGUCAGUUCAUGGCGAUGGCAGAACCAGCGGACUUUGUUCACAUAUUUGAUGUCAGAAGUGGGUACAACAGGCAACAGGAGCUGGACUUCUUUGGUGAAAUCUCAGGCAUGUCGUUCAGUCCUGACACCGAGGCUCUUUUUGUUGGUGUAUGGGAUCGCAACUAUGGCAGUCUCCUUCAGUACAGCCGCCUCCGGGGCUACUCAUACCUUGAUUCACUACUUUGAAUUAGAACUAGUUUCCAUGCUGUACCUCUUGAGUCUGUUGGUAUCUGUGCUCGGUGCAGGAUGUUGUACAUGGACGUGGCAGGGGGAUGGAGAUUAAGAUUAAAGGGGAACCUGGAAGUCUCUCAUGUUUAAUUGUAAUGAACACUUUCGAUCAAAAAAAAAAAAAUCUAAUGAAAACCGGACUCUUUUGAAGUGUACAAAGAAGAAAGAAAUAUACAGUUGCCCAGUGACUGCACUUGUGAAGAAAAUUUUGAGUUUAGCUCAAUGUGCCAGACUCUCAGCUGUCUUUCAGAAGAUUUUAGAGUGAUUCUGAUGUAAUCUUCAUUCAAUGUUCAUUAUUUUGUCCCUCUAUUUAGACUUGGGUGAAAUUUCACACUGCAUGUGUUGGCUCAUGCAUUGCAAAACAAUAUGAUAUUUCUGGUAGUCGGUUCUUAAACGUGUUCUGUUUGGAUUGUCACCACUAGCUGCUAUGAUCUGGAUCUAGCUCGUAGCUCUACUUUAGAGCAUUUGAAAAGUUAUUUUUGGGCUUUCUGGGUAAAAAUUUCUUUCAUGAAGCAAGAUUCUUGAAUAUUUGUAAUUCUUGUUACUCAAUGCAAAAUUUUGUAAAGAAGAUAACUGAUCUUUGUGAAUAAUUUUGGGUAUAUUUGUUCUGUUACUCCUAUGAGAUCUAUAAUGUUAUUAUUUCAUUUCUUGUCAAUGUUCUCAUUCUAUAUAUUUGUGGUAAUUUGCUGAUUUUGAUCUGAUGUUAAUAUUUAUUGUCACAUGUAAACUAUUAAAUGUCACCAUCAAUUUUCGCAAUGUUUCUGCUUUAACAAUAUUUUAUUUUGUUUUGUAUUUGGAAGCUAUUUAAAAAGAAUCAUACUAUUCCAAAGAUUUUCAGAGGGAUUUCAAGUCAGCAAGGGGAUUCUAUUGGGUUAUCAUGCUUCUCUUCAAGGUGUCCUAUAUCUCUUUGAAGAAAUUAAUAAAUUCUAUCGAGGAAAAUUGAAGUGUUCUAUAUCAAGUUUACAGCUCACUAAUCGAAGUUUUCUAUUGAUUUCAUUUAAUUGUAACUUAUGAGACUGCCGGUUUGUGAUGUUUACCACCUAAAGCCAUAUAUGAAGUUAUGCUCAAGACAUCAUUCUCUAUGAAACUUUACAAGCCAGGAAUUACUCCACUUGGACUAUAGGAAUGAAAUCAGGGGAGCAAGGUUUUGUGUACGAGAUCUAUAAUGGAAAAUUGUUCAUUUCGAAGGCAGGAUGCUUUUAUGCAGGGGGUGUGAAGCACAAACUCUCCUCUUGGAAUCAAAUAUAGAUGCCACUAGCCACCAAGUGGCUUGAUGAUUUCUAGGGAACAUGGAGGUGCACAGCUCAUCUAAGAACACUAAUUUGAUCCAAUAUAGAAGCGAGUUAAUAAAAGCAUAUAUAUAUAUAUAUUUCACUAUAUCAUGAUAUGGUAUUUUGAAUUUUGAAUUAAGUCUUUACUUGCCAAAUUUUGUACCUAAUCUGUCAUCAGCUUUUUGUUUUUCUUUUCUUUUCUUUUCAUUUUGAUGAAAGGAGCUGUUGCUGUGUGAAAUUUGACAAAAGCACUGUUCCAUAGGAGAUUAGAAAGCUGAAUCUGUUUUCCUCUUCAACUCGCACCUCUUCUUCCUCCCAUCUCCAUCCUACCAUUUUCCAAAUCUCAUGCUCCGGCAUAUCAUUCGCAGGGCUAAAGUCGUGAACAUGAUUUAGAAUACGCGUCUAAGAAGCUUUUUUCUUCAUAAAUAACCGAUAUCUAAAUAGCACUUGUUAUUUUGCGAGAACUACCAAAAUCAUUAUUAUUUGUCAUUUGACGAUCGCACGGUUAAUUAACUUAAAAAAAUAAAUUUAAAACUCAGAUAUCUAUAACAGCUCGAUACAUAUAUCUACACUUAUAUGGCUGUUAACAUGAUGAAUCACAACUGUUAUUUUGCUAACUAUUAUCCUAGGUUUCCCAUUGUGACUAUUAAUAAUUCUUAUCAAGGUUUGCAAAACCGACCCGAAUCUCCUGUUUUGGGGUAUAUGGAACUGAGUUGGUGCGAAACCGGAUUGUUUAUUGGUUGGGUUCAGGCCUCAGCUCAAACUGAUUCAAACUAUGUGGAACCAUCUAGUUUCGUCGAUAUAACUUAAUUCAAGAUGGCUCUAGACGCUUAUGUAAGUAAAAAUGGAGGAGAAGACAUCCUGAUGUUAGAUGUUUUCUCCUCUCUUUUCUACUGAGCAUGUGAAGAGAAGGGUGGAAGUUAAGAAAAAUCAGGGGAGUAAGGACUUUUAUGAUUUUGAGUCAAUCGAAGAUAACAUCAAGUAUAAUCUUCUUCCUCGGUUUCAUUGUUCUUUUCUUGUUUUUAUGCUUAAAAUAAACCAAAAAUGUUAAAAUAAGAAGAAAUCAAAUAAAAAGUCCAUAUUUUAGCACCAUUUCAUGAUAUACUAUAUUUUGACCUCGAUUAUAAACAAUAUCUUGAUAUUUUUGAGUGGCAUAGACACUCCAUAAGGGUCUAGAUUUUGCUAUAGUACCAUACCAAUGCACUUCUGCGUACUGAGUAGUGGUAUAGCAUGGUAUGGGACCAUAUUGUACCAACAUAGCUUUUGAACAUACAAUACCCAGUCCUGAGAUUAGGAACCUUAGUUGUUAUAACAAUUAGUUAAUUCUUGUUCUUGAAAAAAAAAAAUCAAAGACUUACCAAGCAACAACUGCCACUUCCAUUGAAGUGAAGAUGGCGAAAUGUUGAAGGAAAUCAAAGCUUAGAGAUCAAAACAUGGUUAUCUAACCUUAUUUGAAAGAUCAAAGCUCAGCCGGUGCAUGCUAUGUAUCUAUUGCAUUCCAUGCUCAAAAAUAUAUUGCAUGGAGUAUUUCAUUCUGGAUGUUGAUCAAAUGCUAUCAUAAUCAAAAGCUUAGAUACUACAGAUCCACUCAUCAAACAACUCAUUCACGGUUAGAACGACCAAUCAGUUCACAAAAGUGGGUAAGGAAAAGAAAUUAAAGAAAUUAAAAAAGAGAGGAAAAAUAAAAAUUAAUACCCGUUAAAGAUCGGGGUAUUGAACCCGACGUGAAUCGAACACGCAACCUUCUGAUCUGGAGUCAGACGCGCUACCAUUGCGCCACGGAUCCAGUGUUCUUACAUUUGAAAAACAUUCUUAUAUAACAUAAUAAACGACUACGUCAGUUUCACUAGUGAACGUGUCCGGUGCGCUUUGCUUCUAUGGCCACCAAACAUCUUAUCUGUCUCCCCCCCAAUCGCCUGCCCCCAACUCAACUCCCCAAAUCCUCCCCUCCGCUCCCCUCCCAUAAACUCUCCUCACCACAAAAUCUCCUUCUACUCCCAUCACUACUAGUAAUCCUGAAAUCUUUCAUAGCGUCCGCAACCUCUCCAUCUUAUCCCCUCCAUCCCAAUUUUCAACCUCUCUCACACCCCAACCCCCAGACAACAGUCUCAAGUCUCAGCCAUGGCCUCCACUCUCUUCUCCACACCCACCUUCAACGGCCUCCGCCCUCUCAAGCCCACCGACUCCUCCCUCUCCUUCCCCAAAAAAGCCAGCCUCGCCCUCCCCGCCCGGCCGGUCCGGCCCAGCGCCAAACCGGGUCUGGUAGUCAAGGCCGAGCUGAACCCGUCCCUGGUGAUCAGCCUCAGCACCGGCCUGUCCCUGUUUCUCGGCCGGUUCGUCUUCUUCAACUUCCAGAGGGAGAACGUGGCCAAACAGGGGCUCCCGGAGCAGAACGGGAAGACCCACUUCGAGGCCGGAGACACCCGGGCCAAGGAGUUCGAGGCUCUUCUCAAGUCCAACGACCCGGUCGGGUUCAACAUCGUCGACGUCCUUGCAUGGGGUUCCAUCGGCCACAUAGUGGCUUACUACAUCCUCGCCACCUCCAGCAACGGCUACGAUCCCAAGUUCUUCUGAGUUGGAAUUCGCUGGGGGUUUUGGACACGGUUAUCGUUGUACAUUAAUUUUGACGGUUUGAUGGUUUUUAUCAUGGAAUGUUUGGGCUGGGUGUUGUGGGGUUGUGAUGAUGGGUGGGGGAUCAAUUGUAUUAUUUGUACGCCGAAGGUGGCUUCUUAUCAAUCAAAUAUGCUUUGCUCUCAAAACUUAAAUUUGCUUGGUUUUUUUUUCUUUGUUUUCUUACGUAGUUUUCAUUUUGAGCUCGCCAUAUGUUUCCUUUUGAUGUGCGACACUAGCUCUUAUCCAUUUAAACAAAUAAAAAGCAAUGAUUAUAAAAUAUAAAUGCAUACAUAUGUAUAUGUAUUGUUAUAAAUAUAUUUUUUAUGAAAUAUAUCUGAGGUAGUUUUGGUCUUACAUGAAGUGUUCUUUGGAUAUCCUUGAAAUACGAAAUAGGUUACUCGUGGAUAUUUAAAAAUUUUUAAUAACCAAAAAUUAGUAUACCACAAACAGUGAGGAUCAAAUUAUCUCGAGAUAAAGAUCAUCGGUGACCUAAGAUCAUCAUUUUAUAGUGGUUCUAUUUGGAUCACCAAAAGCCACCUUCAAUGUCAUCUACCGACUAGCAUCAAUCAGGCAUGCUUGUGUGAAUAAUUUUUUUUUCUUUUUCCCUUCUCUCUUUGGGAAUGUUAGGGUAAAAAGAAUGAGACUAACUCCAGAAUUUCGUCCAUUUUUAUUACAACUAAGCUUCUAUUACCUGUCUUUUCCUUUCCCCAUUUUUUUUUCCGCCUAAGACAUGGACACUAGAGCAGGAGGUAGAGACGAAGUUGGCAUGGAGGAUACGCUUGAAAAGUGAGUGACAGAUGCUGGGUUUGAAUACAGAACUUGUUUGAAUAGAACCAAUCGAACACAGGAUACCAGACAAGAGGGUUCUUAUCUGUAUUCCAUUCUCAACAAAUAGGUGCUUCUCAUUGAUGGAGCUCAAGGUCAGUGUAAGUACAGGAAGUCGGCAAGUUAUCCCUGCUCGGCCACAUUCUAGAUGUCCGUAGUGUGAAUGCAGCAUCCUGUCAGAUAAGCUGAGUAGAAUAAUAGUUGGAUAGUAGCAGGUCAGCUGGAGAAGAAUAUAUGACCUCCUCGUAGGUGCUGUCAAAGGAGUCUUCCGAUUAGAUGUCUGAACACACGUGUGUCAGUAUAAAAUAACUAUGUUCCAUCACCAUGAAUCAUGAGUACUUUACUUCCUUUCAACUUUUUUUUUUCUUCUUUAAAGCUACAGUAGUUAGGACCGGUGGUCAAUUACAAAUGCUCGUUUCCACGAGCCAAUCAUCAAGAUGAGCACUCGAUAAAUAAUGCCUACAAAAAUAGGUGUUUGUAAUUGGCAUGGUGCACCACAUACACAUCAUGUAGAAUAUAAUUUUUUCUGGGUGCCAGGUGUUGUAUUACUUUUCGCGUUGCAACUUUUCUUCUAUAGAAUUAAACCAAGGAUAAGCAUCAAGUAACUGUUGUCUUGAUUGAAAAAGCAAUUAUCGGCUAACAAACCUAACCCACCUCAGUUGACUAGACAAGCCACAAAAUUAGAUGCAUAAUUAGGUAUCCAAUAUAUGGCAAAAUAUGGUACAGGAUAUGAGGUGCAUGUUUCAAUUAUCAUGAACCAGAUAAAAUUUUAUAAAUGAGACAGAAUUCAAUGAACAAAUACACAUCACCAAUACAAGUGCAUAUGUGUUUGUUUAACAAAAGAGUGUAAUACGCCUGAAUAGUUAUCUGUAUACAAAUGCAUAUAUAUUCUUAUUAAAGUAUAUGCACAUAUCUAUGCGCAUACAUAAUAACUUGUAUAUAUAGGUGAAUGUAUACAUCAUGUAUAUAUGUAUUAUAUGUCUGUUGAUGUAUAUAAAUAUCCAUCACCGAAAUAAAGUAUAUUAAGUAUCUAAAUAUAUACAUGAAUGUAUAAAUAUGUUUAAAAAUAAUGCUAUUUUUUCUGCAGUUGAAAUCUUAAUUUAUUAAAAUAUGUUUGAACAACAAAAAAAGUCUUAGAUGAUCUAAAACUGCUAUAGAAUGUACAUUUAUUAUAUAAAACAUAUAGAUACGUUGAUAGCAAUUCUUUUUUUUCUUUUUUUUUUUUUUUUGCUUAGAAGAAGAAAGAGGGGGUGAGGAGAACCUCACCCGUAUAGCAAUCCUCACUGGCCCCUUCCUCGCUGGAGAGUAUUUGAUGCGGAUAAAACAUUUUUUACUCAUACUUUUUUCAUCCGUGGCAGAGCCCCACUAGCAUGGCAGCUCUAUCCAGUAUGAUAGCAAUUCUUUUCAAUUUUUUUUUUGAUUAAUUGAUUUAUAGCUCAAAUUUCGGAUAAGCUGUUCAGUGCAAAAGGUUUCACAAACCAAAACCUUGUACGUGGGCCCACUGAAAUUUUCGUGCCUAACCGGAUGUGAAAGCUCCGAGCUCCCACCGCCCCUCUCUUAUCUCGGACGGCAUGUCAUUAGAGGACGCAAGGCACGAAACUACGAAGACCAGGACUCAUUUCGGUCAAGGAGAGAACCCGGUCUGGGUUGUAACCAGAAGCUUCGAGAAGCGGCCGAGCGGGGGCUGGCUCAAACACAGCAUACAAAGCCAGUAAAGCAUCGCCACGUGGAUAGUCUCCGCUAUUAGAUCGUUAUAUAAUAAACGGACCAUCAAUCGCCGUUAUGGGCUACCGGGUGAACCGGGGACGCCGCCAUGGGUCCGAUCACCACGCCGGGGCGGUGACCGGAUCAUUGGCCCCCUAUAAAUGCCCAACGGCCGGACCAACCCUCUUCGGACAAAGCACCUAUUUUCCCCUCACCAAGUUAUCGUUUCCUUCUCCUCUCUCUCUCUCUCUNNNNNNNNNNNNNNNNNNNNUUCUUCUCUCUCUCUCUCUCUCUCUCUCUCUCUCUCUCCCCAGUCCGGGAGAUCAAGGCCUCGCUCCAAGACUCUAUCGGGUUCGUCUCAUCUUUAAGUAAUUCUCAUCUUCUUUUAUCUCCGAUUUGAGCGGUAGUUUUCGUGAUCUGGAUCGGGUUUUGAUUCCAGAUGUCUCGCGCUUCGCGUUUUAUUUACUUCAGACCUUGUUCUGCUUAAAUCUAUAUGUUUGUUGUGGCUAUGUUAGAUUCGGCGAUAAUUUAAGUCAAUCCAUGCCAAUAGAUUUUUAUUUUGGUGAUAUAUUAUUGUGAGUGUUGAAUAUAGGCAUUUAGAAUUCUAUUCCCUGUUCCUUCUUUGUUAGUAUUGGUCUGAUGUUAUUAGAAAGGUCUAUUCAAGCUCGAUCAAGUUUUGGUUAUCAGUUGGAGUUCUUAAUAGCAUAUUUGGAUGCUGUGUGCUUUUGAUUGUGCUAAGCUCUUCAGAAUUUUGGAUUCAGGAUGGACUUUUCUUUGGACUAAUUUAUCUUUUGAUUGGGUUUGCUUUUGAUUCCUAUUAUUAUAUUUUGUUUGUUCUUCUGAAACUUCUGCCACUCUUAUUCUUUCUAAACUUUAAAUCCUUAAAACAUUUGAUCUAAGGAUAGCCAGCUUUAAAUUAUCCUGUGAGGGAUUGGUCGUUCCCUGCGUUUUUUGUUUUUCAAUUAGCUAUAGUAUUUUGAGCCCUUAAAAAUUAGUUUCCAGUUUGAACUAACUUAGGGGCUUUAGGUUCUGUAAAAGACCUGACCAAGGUGUAAGACCACUCUGGAGUCUGGAGCAAGUCUUCUUUUUUCCUCCACUUCUUCUCCUUGAAUGUUCUCUUCUCUUUUCCUCUUUUUUCUGCACUUAGCCAGCAUAAGUCUACUUCAAAUAAGAGUCUCUAAAAGGCAACAGCUCUUUUUAGUUCUUCCUGCAUACAGCCACAACUAUCAGAAUUCGCAGCCACGAGCUUGAAUAAGGGCCUGUUUGGAUAUUCUUACAGAAUUAAGCUGAAAAUUCUGCAGGAUUCGUGAAUUGAGCCGCCUAUUUAAGGGCCUGUUUGGGUGUCCCUACAGAAUUGAAUUGAAAAUCCUGUAGGUUUUGUGGAUUUGGCCAUUUACUUAAGCAUUGCCCUAUAUCAACCAAAUACCACCCAGCCCAAAUCCUAUGGGAAGGGGAAAAAAAGACCUCUAUAGAUCUAUUUUUUUCUUCCUACAGCGACAAAGGUUAGGAUCUAGACUGGAUUUGGAUAGGCACUUGGAAAAUGCAAACUAGAUGGGCCAACAGGCCCGAUUCCAAUUAAAUUUUCAACCCAAUUCUGUAGGAAUAUCCAAAUAGGCUCUAAGUGUUUUAGGGCUGACUUAGCUCAAAUUUUGUUUAACUGGGCUGACUUGGUCUGCUAUUGAAGCAGCCACUUUAGGCCCUUCCCGAUAUCCAAUUCAACCUCUUAAUUGUCCAGAAGCAUAUCCAUCUCAACCCUAAAUGCAGCUCUUUACAGAGACCCCAGCACACUUAUUGUGACCGGUCUGCUAAUAGAUCUAUAAUCAGUAGGCUAGUCUGUUGCAGAUGUCAGUCUGGCUGUUAUUUGACUCCCAAAACUUUCCUCAGUUGUCCUUCAAGCUCGAACCCUUGUUAACUUUUGCAUAAAAUACCUUCAUUAUAAUCAAUAACCCUUCAGUAUCUCCUAAUAUAAAGUGAUAGUUGAGCUCGGGAGGAUCUUAGAAACUGUUUAGGCUUGAGAGGAUCUUCAGAUCAGGUUGCAGUCUGCUAAACCUCCUCUCAUUCUUCUAAUUUCUCAUAUUAUUCUCCUCUUUCUUGUGGUGCCUUUCUGUCUCUCCCUUUCCUUAAUUUAAUUACCCUCUUUCUGAUAGAGCACAACAGUAGUAUUGCUGUUUGUCAGUUCUGAGAAAGAUCUGAGGCUGUUUCAAGCUAGCAGCUGAGAGAAAGGCUCGAAGAUUGGACAUAUAGAGAUCAAACUUCAUCCCUAGCAUUUGUCUGGGUUAUGUCACUAGGGCUACUGUUUGUUGUUGUGUAGUCUUAAGCUUGGGCUUAUCAUAUAGUAUUUCAUGCUUCGAUCUUUAGUUUUUAGACACCAGAAUAUCUCAGUAUUAGAAAUGCCCUAGAAGCCAAUUUUGCUGACGCAUUAUUUUGUUCUAAGAUAUAAAUUUAUGCUUGACCUAAUUAUGAAUUUAUUAAGUUGGGCAUUCUUAUCAUUCAUGUUCUUUUGUGUCCAUGAAUCGUCCAAAGAAUUAAUAAGAUGAUGACACAUAUUCUCAAGAGUUGAGAAUUUGAGGCAUGUGUCAUUGGUGAUUAACUCCUGAAUUGCUCCUGAUCGAUGGAUCAUCGCGAGGACGAUCGAUCCGCUGAGAUUAGUGCAUAGAUCACUUUCUUUGAUGAACGAGUCUUGAGUCCAUAGUGUGGGGACACUGGAGUGAUUAUGCAAGUUCUUAUUAGAGAACAAGAGUGCUGAGCGUAACCAUAGCAAGUAGUUACUUGGAUGUCUAAUCCACUCGUCAGUAACUUACUUGAUGCUGUAGUUGUAUAACUGGUCCUUUGACCUGUGAUGCCUCGGCUAUUCACAGUAAGGUUGCUAUAGUUUGACGAACACACAAUCAUGGACCCUACCAUUUGGAUCCUUGUGGUGCAGAUUGGUUGCAGUAGGUUCAUUGUAGGAGUAAGGUGCAUUUAGAUGGAAUCUAUCGACCUUGAUAGAUUAUGAAAGAUCCUAUAUGAUUUAUAAAACUGAGUUCAUAAAUCCUUGGCCAAAGUAGUUUUUGGAAAAGAGUUUCCAAUCUCGAACUAGAGUCGAAUAAAUUUUACAUAUGACAAAUGAUGAGGUUUGACGAGUUAUCCAUGACCUCCAUCUCGUCGGGAUCCACGAUAGAGGGACUGUAUCAUACACCAACUGCACCUACAGGUUCAUCUAUUCCAUUCUGCUGGGUAGUCACUACAUGCUACUAGGUGUCAUUGGUAGAUUGUGAGACUCAAAAGCAUUCACUUGAUCAGUGAACCAGAAUGAGAGGAGUUAGAAUUGUUCCAACCUAUUGAAAGAAGUUUUAAUGAUAUUGUGAUAGUGAUCACAAUAUAUCGCACUACCAGACAGAAUAAAAUCUAUGGGGUCACACAUAAUAGAGGAUCUGAUCGAUCUGAUGGUUGGAUUAUGAUUUGGAAUCACAAUAGUUGGUAAUUAUCAAUUUGAUUGGUAAUUGGCUUAACCCACUAAGAAUUAGUGAGUUGAAGAAGGAAUUAAUUGUAAUUGGAUUGCAAUUUGAUUGAAUCAAUUAGGCUUAAUUAAUUGGGCUCGAUCUUAUUUGAUAAGGUUCAAGAGUCCUACUUAGAGUAAGACUCCUAGAGUUCUAAUUGGAUUACGACUUUAAAUUAUUAGAGUCCUAUCCGGAGUAGGAUUCCUAAAGUCCUAAUUGGAUUAGGACUAAAAUUAUAUGAGUCCAAUUGGAUUAGGACUCCUAGAGUUCUAAUUAAUUAUUGGUCUAAUAGAUGAAGAUGACUCCUAAUUGGAUUAGAAUUGAAGAGUUCAAUUGAGUCAUGAUCCAAUUGAGUCCUAAUUAGAUUAGGACUCCAAGAGUCAUAAUUGAUUUAAUCUUAUGGAUAAGGAUCUUGAAUCAAAUAGAAAGACUAAUUGGGUCCUAAUUAGAUUAGGAUUCAAUGAACCAAGGGCCACCUAAAUCCUAAUUUGAUUAGGAUUAGAAGGGAGGGGCAAGAACCCCUCCUUUCCCUGGGUACUCUUGGGAUCCGCAUCCCGGUUGUCCGGGACGCGCGUCCCGGGUGUCCGCGAGACCCGGUUGGGGCGUGGCUCCUUCUAAUUUUAAGAAGGACGCCACGCCUAGGGCAUUUAGAUGAAAAGAAAUAAAAAAGGGGCCAGCCACCCUUGGGUCUGGGGCUUUCCUUUUCAUCAUGGCGGCCAUCUCUCCCUCUCUUCCUUCUUCCAUCCGCAAGGGCCAAAGAAAAGGGGCAGCAAGCAAGAUUGGAGUCAUCUUCUUCCUCCUCUUCUUCAGCUGCAUGGAAGAAAACAUAGAGAGGAAGGUGUUCCUCUCUUCCUCCUUCCAAGAAAAAGAGAAAGCGUUUCUCUCUCCUUCUUCCUCCUCUUGAGAGCAAUCAAGAGUUGAUUGCUUAAAGAAGUUCCAACUAUCAAAAGAAAUCUCUGCACGGGAGCUAGCACCCCAGUGAGAUCGUAACCUCGAUCAAUCCUGAUCUUCGUGUGGAUACCCGUAUAGGUCGGACACUUGUACGGUUUCAAGCGAAUCCAAUUUCCACGAUCAUCAGAUAGCGGUGAAGAUCUACCCGCUCAAAGGUAAAAAUUUGAUCUUUAUAUUUUUUAAUUAUAGAUAUGAAAUUAAUCAAAUAAUUUAAUUUUAAUAUUUUCUUAGAUUUCAUAAUCUUCUGAGUUAGAAAAUUUAGAAUUUUUUUGAAAUCUACGUUCCCUAAGACGUUAAUGUGAUGAACGACCCCGCGCGUAUAUUUCUGCUGCAAUCAUCGCAACGCAUAUGGGGGUAACCCAACACUCAGCAGCAGUUUAUCUGCAUGUGCAAUUAGUUUGGUUUAUUUCCUUUGUAUUAAAUUGCUUGAUCAGCCAUAGUGUAUUAUAUAUACAUAUAUAUGAUCGUCAUCAAAUUGGAGAUUAAAUUGGACAGAUAAGGGCAAACAGAAUUGAAUAAUUAGAGGAAUUUGCCGAUUGCCAGUUCAAAUGGGGUUUUCAUGAAUCUUCAUGCUUUUAGGAGUUGUUAACAUAUCCUAAAAUCAUUGACUUAUGCAAGAUUGAAAGGUUUUCUAUUUCAGUGGACAUUAAUAACUAAUUUCACGUUAGGUUACUCUCACAUGUGAGGUCUCUCAUCUUUCUAAGAAGUUCUGAUUACUGCAGGUUAUUGGUGAGGCACUGAGGCUCUACCUCACUCGAAUUAAAAAGAGAAUAUAUGAUAAUUCUGGACACGACAAAUGAAUAUAGGCAUCUAGGAUGUAUUGAAUUGGGUCUAUGAAAUAGCUACUGCUAUAUUAGGACAUUCUGUAUGGUUAGCCGAUGUGUCCACCAUUUGUGGCUGACCACCCUUAAGGUAAGUCUGGUGAAGUUUCCUUGUUUCCAAAUUGCUAAGAUUUUAGCAACCUAUAUUCUAAUUUUGUUCAAUCUUUUUUUCUUUUCUACCUUCCUAUGUUUUUAUUUAGUUAUGUUGAUUCUUCUUAUCUAGAUUUAUCAGGUAAAGGGAAAUUGUUAACCAGUCCAUGAUCUGUAGAGACUGGUUGAUCGCUUGUAUUUACGAAAAGGUUGCUUGGAUUUAUCCAUGGUUUAUUCUUUAUCUUUAAAAUUUGAUUUCUUUAUUCAUUUCAGAUCUGACCGAAAUAGGCUGCUCGAACAUCANNN
rnacentral:lncRNA from 1 species